rnacentral:lncRNA from 1 species
CAGAAGCUGAAAUUUCACCUCGACCAUCAAUAGGUUUAGCCAGGGCAUUUAUAACACGACCUAAAUAAGCCUCGCUUACUGGUAUCUGAGCAAUUUUUCCGGUUGCUUUUACAGAACUUCCUUCUUGUAUCAUUAAACCGUCACCCAUUAAAACAACACCAACAUUAGUUGAUUCCAAAUUCAGAGCAAUGCCUAUUGUACCCUCUUCAAAUUCUACUAAUUCACCUGCCAUUACUUCAUCAAGACCAUAAAUACGGGCGAUGCCGUCGCCUACUUGAAGUACGGUCCCAAUAUUUACAAUCUUUACUUCUCUAUUAUAUUGCUCAAUACGUUCGCGGAUAAUAUUACUAAUUUCGUCGGCUUUAAUUGUUGUCAUAAGUAUUUCUUAAUUCUUUUUUUUCUUAAAAAAAAAAAAAAAAUAAUGUGCCUACAGUAAAAGGACUAAUCAGUUAUUUCUUUCAUCGCUCCAAACAUGCCAAUAUUGGCACUAAUGGUACGUAAAUGUAACUCCUUGUUCAAACAACUAUUCAGAGUUCCGAGCGCUCCUUGUAAAGCUUGUUGGAAAACCCGUUGUCGGACUUGAUUAAUUGCUCUUUGUUGUUCAAAAUGAAUGGUUUCAUUUUUGUAAUUUUCUAAUUGAUCCAAAGUCUUAUAAGUUGAAUUAAUCAAAUUGAAUUUUUCUCGUUCUAUCUCAGAGUAUCCAUUCACUCGAAACUGAUCUGCUUCUAUUUCUAUUUUUCGUAACCGGGCCCGGGCUUUUUCCAGCCGUUCAAUGGCCCCUCUCUGCAGUUCUUCUGAAUUUCGAAUACUAUUCAAAAUCCUCAGUUUGCGAUUAUCUAAUAAAUCACUUAAUGAAAGUAGAUUAUCUUUCCAUUCAUCUCAAAACUUCGAUGAUCCCUUCCCGAACCAAACAUGAAUUUUUCGAUUCAUUUGGCUCUCCCACUCAAUUACGUCAACUACUUAUGUAUGGGGGGGUUCCCAUAUCUUUUUUUAAUGUAAUGAGCCUAUCCUCUCCCUCUCUUCUCUAUUCAUAUUCCAAAAUGAAUCUUGCGACUGAUCCCUAAUCCAAGAACAGAAUAUUCGGAGGACUCUUCUGACCAAAUCAAAAUAUAUAAUUGUCAGCAAAGUUGUUUCUUUUUUUCUUCAAAUCCAAAGAAUUCUUCUUACUUUAUAUGGAGGUCAUCGAUUCAGCAUAAAUAAGGGUUGGUUGAAAUACCUAUUUUUCCAAUAUUUUCCAAUCAAAUUUCCAAUACCAAUAAAAGGCUCAAAUCUUUUUAUCAACAUGAGUGUUUUAUAUCGAAAAAAAAAAGUCCAAUAAUUAUUAUUAAUUAUUCAUUUAUUAAUUAUUCAUUUUGAAAACAUUUCUAUUCUAUAGUAAAACAUAGUAGUAGAAAGAGUACCGUGCUGUGUCUGGACUUCAAACUUUAGCUUUAACCAUGUUAAUGGUCCCACAUUAUUGGUUUGGUUAAUAGAGAAUCAAAAUAGAUUUACCAACAAAUCACGAAAUGCUAUGGUUCUUAAAUAUGAUUUGAAAUUUAUUCAGAAGUAAUUCGCGGAAUCAUGCACCCUUUUCCCUUUGGUCCUAGUUAUAACGAAAAAAAGUGCAGCUGGUUGGGUCCAGCCUAUUCUUGAAAUAAACAACUCGCACACACUCCCUUUCCAAAAAAGAUCAAUACACCAAGCACUACACUUAGAUUUAUUGGAUUUGUUGCUAAAAUAUCGGUAUUAAGCCCGAAACUCCCGGCGAAUGGCCAGUUAACCAAAGAAACGAAAGAAUCGGUUACAUUUUUCAUAUGAUCUCCUCUUUUAGAUAGACUAAAAAAAAAAAAGAACGCAGUUCUUUUUUUUUUUCUACGUAAUAUAUAUUUAUUUAAUUUAUUUGUUUUUUUAGUAAUUUACCUAUUUCGAAACAGGGUCAAAAAUUCGAUUUCGAAAUCCUUUCUUUGAAUUGGCAAUUGGGGAUUCCCGAUAAGAGGGAUACUUAUUAGUAUUAGGGCCGGGACUCCUGUCCAUUGCAAAACCCCUCGUUUGUUGCAGCAUCACUUAAAAAGAGGGUUUCCUUUAGACUAAGAAAGGGAAAGAAAAAGGCGAACUGGUAUGCCUAUCCUAAUUCCCCAUCCUCAAAUCAGUCCUUCCAAUUGGAGGAGUUAAAUCUUGAUAGAAUUCAAAAAAGCCAGAAACACGGAUAUAAUAAAUAAGAGAAAAAAAAUAAGUAAAUUGCCCUUCCUAUUUCUAGGAUUAAACAAAAGGAUUCGCAAAUAAAAGUGCUAAUGCUACAACCAGCCCAUAAAUUGUUAAAGCUUCCAUAAAAGCCAGACUAAGCAAUAAAGUACCUCGUAUUUUUCCCUCUGCCUCGGGCUGUCUCGCGAUCCCUUCUACUGCCUGGCCCGCAGCAGUACCUUGACCAACUCCAGGUCCAAUAGAAGCAAGCCCAACAGCCAACCCAGCAGCAAUAACGGAAGCGGCAGAAAUCAGUGGAUUCAUGAUAAGUCCCUCGCACUAAAAUAAAGAAAAACUAAAGAAAUCGUUAAUGAUACAAUCGUCCAAUAAAUUAUGACUUAAUUAUUCCGUCACUAGGAUUCGCCCAGCCGAAGUAACUAAGAACUCCCAAUUGGCGUAAUAAUAAUAUUAUUAUUGAACCAUCAAAACUUUUUAGAUAUCUCUUUUUUAGUUUCGAUCCACAGGCACAACACAGGAUUUUUGUAAAUCCAUACGACUUUUGUUCUUCCAUUUCUUUUUUCGGAACCCUUUUUUGAAUUCUUCGUUCGUUUUCUUUCUUUCAUCUCUUUAUUUUUAUUGAUUCAAUUCCCAGUCAAAGCAUCAAAGCAAAGACGAAAUCGAACAAUUUCUAAAUUUCUAUUAGAAUCCCUAUCGAAAUUCACAAUAAUCACAAGAGUAGGGUGGAUUAGAUAUAUCUUUAGUUCAUAUAUAACUAGCAAUAUCUAAUAUCCCAUAUACAUGUCUUUCUUACAGAACGUAAACCAACUAUUAAUAUCUUAGACUCCAAGUAUUCGUAUCUUAAAGUCAAUCGUAUUCUCGAACCCCUUUUAAAACUCAAAAAAUACACAAGAGUUGGCAUUUGAUUCCAUAUACCUAAUUAUGUACCCCUCGCCGAAUCACCCCGUUUUUAUAAAUCUCUUUUUUUUUUUUCUAUUCCUUUUCGUUAUCAUUAUCCACCAGGCUACAAUCGAAAUAGACGAAUUCAUUGGGGCGAAUCAUUGCAUAGAACUAAAUAUCAGUAUUUGAUUGAGGUACGGCCAUGCAAUUUAUUAUAUUAAUAUUCUCUUUUGGUCAAUCGUUGAAUUGAAGAAUUGACUAAAAGCAACUAAAAGGGGAAUUAUUUUAUAAAGCAUCUUUCUUUUCUUUUUUUUUUAAUCACCCGCCUGUGAUACUAUAAGAAUUUUUAUUCAACUUAUCACUCUUGGUAUUUGCUAUUCGAAUUGAAUGAACAAAAAUGAACAAAACAAUAUAAAGAAAAUAUUAAUUGGCGGGGAGAGGGGGGAUGAUAUAAUAAGGCCAAAGAGGAAUUUGAGGAAAAAGAUCCUUUAGAUCUCUUUCCUACAAUUCCCCAAUAUCGUAAUUUUUUUUCUACGACUCUUGAUCGUAUAUGCGGUAUUUGUAGAUUUAUGUUUGGAUAUGUAUUUUUCCUAAGUAGAAGUAUAAGUAGAUUAUCUUGAGUUACGCAUCCAUUGCCUUUGUUCUAAGCUACAAAAAAAGACUAUUUCGAAAACGAGUCAAUGAUGUCCCUCCAUAGAUUCGCCUAUAUAAGCCGCAGCUAAAGUUGCAAAAAUAAGAGCUUGAAUACCGCUUGUAAAUAAUCCAAGGAACAUGACGGGUAUAGGAACCACUAAAGGUACUAAAGAAACAAGAACAACAACUACUAAUUCAUCGGCUAAUAUAUUCCCAAAAAGUCGAAAACUAAGUGAUAGAGGUUUUGUGAAAUCUUCUAAAAUGUUAAUGGGUAAAAGAAUUGGAGUCGGUUGAAUGUAUUUACUGAAAUAGCCUAAUCCCUUUUUGGAAAGACCCGCAUAGAAGUAUGCUAUUGACGUGAGCAAAGCUAAAGCAACGGUAGUAUUUAUAUCAUUCGUGGGUGCGGCUAACUCCCCAUGAGGUAACUCUAUGAUUUUCCAAGGUAAAAGAGCACCUGACCAAUUAGAAACAAAAAUAAAAAGAAACAGAGUUCCAAUAAAGGGAACCCAUGGGCCAUAUUCUUCUCCAAUCUGAGUUUUGCUCACGUCUCGAAUGAAAUUCAAGGACAUAUUCGAAGAAAUUUUGAGUGGCAGUCGGAACGGUUUGUGGAUUCCGAACGGCUAUAAAGGCUGAACCUAAUAAGAUAGCAAUUACAACCCAAGAAGUAAUAAGUACUUGGCAUGGACCUGGAACCCACCUAUUUGCCAAUAGAAAUGUUGGCCUACUUCCACACCGGAUAUAUCGUAUAACCCCCUUAGUGUAUUCAUGGAACAUGAUAGAACAUUCAUAUUGCCCUCUGACCGAAAUAGAAAUUUAAAAAGAAUUAUUUUGAUUCAACCAUCUUCUUUUCGACUUGUCUACUUGAAUUGUAUAUUUUGAAUAUCUGCUAAUUGCAUAAUAUCCACCAGGUUUGUCUCUUUUCUUUUGUGCAAUUCAGGAAUAGUACCCAAUCCAUAAAUCUAUGGAGUUACCAAAAUAAUUUAUUUAUCUUAUUAUUAAUCAAGGAUUUCGUAUAUAGCUAGAGCGACCCUCACAAAUUGCGAAUACUAAUUUUGUUAAGAAUUAAUCGGAUUGAGGCUAUAGCGUCAUCGUUUGCUGGAAUCCGAAAUAUCUGCGAGAUCGGGGUCACAAUUUGUAUCGAUUAAACAAAUUGUUGGAAUUCCCAAAGUGAUACAUUCUCGAAGAGCCGUAUAUUCUUCUUGCUGAUCAACGACGAUUACAAAUAUCGGGUACCCUCGUCAUAUAUUUAAUCCGCCCAGAUACGUUUGCAGACGCGAUAAUUGUCUCUUCAAAAUAGCGGCAUCCCUUUUGGGAAGACUGUCGAGUCUCCCCCCUUUUUGUUCCGUUCUCAAAUCCCUGAACUUGUGAAGUCGCGUUUCUGUAGUGGACCAAUUGGUUAACAUACCGCCGAGCCAUUUUUGAUUAACAUAAUGGCACCGAGCCCUUAUUGCAGCUCGCGCGACUAAAUCAGCUGCUUUAUUUUUAGUACCAACAAUUAAGAAUUGUUUUCCCUACUUGCUGCAUCAAAAACUAAAUCACAAGCUUCUGAUAAAAACCGAGCAGUUCGAGUCAGAUUUGUAAUAUGAAUACCUUUUAUGUUUUGCAGAUAUAUAAGGUGCCAUUCUAGGAUUCCAUUUCCGGAUACCAUGACCAAAAUGAAUUCCUGCUUCCAUCAUCUCUUCCAAAUGGAUGUUCCAAUACCUUCUUGCCAUUUCUCCCCCACUUCCUCUUUUUUUUUUAAGAGACGAGGCGCCCUGAAAUAAAUAAUUGUUCCGAGGGAACCUUCUCUUCUACCAGAGAGUGACCAUUGAUACACGACCCAGGCCAUUCAUUACUUUCUAUUCAUUAUUAUCCUUCGUUCUAUUCAUUAUUAUCUUUCUUUUCGUACCAUUAAAAAAUCAAAUGAUCACAAAUAGUUAAAAGAAUUCGCUCCUAGGACUCAUUAAACCCUCUAAGCAAUUGUGCUCUGAUGUAUCAUGAAAGUCGUUGAAAUGCACGAGUCAAAUAAUUCUGUGGGUGUAAGAAAAUAUCUCUCAUUUCCCCCCCGAAUAAAUUCCCUUUUGUCUUUCCAAAAGAAUGUUGUUAUGCUGCCUUGAACAGUGGACUAAUCCUUUGAAUCCGGUACCGACUGGUAUUAUCCCCCCCCAGACAACGUUUUCUUUCAGGCCUUUCAACCAAUCGAUACGACCUCGGAGAGCAGCUUUUGCUAAAACUCGCGUGGUUUUCUUGAAAACUUGCUUCGGAUAUAAAACUUUGAGUAUUCAGAGACGCUCUCGUUAUUCCCAAUAAGAUAGCUCGAUAACAGAUCACUUCUUCCAAAGCGCGCCCCAUUCGUUCCGCUCGUAACAAUCCAAUCAGUUCGCCGGGUAAAAAAAUAUUAGACAUUCCAUCUUCGGAAACUAAAACUUUUGAUGUUAUUUGACGUACAAUAAUUUCUAUAUGCCUAUUAUGGAUCUGCACCCCCUGCGAUCGAUAAACCUUUUGGAUCUUAUUAACCAAAGAGAUACGACUUUGCACUAUAGUUAGCUCAGCACAAUCAAAAUCCCAGGGAAUCCAAGAAUUCUUGUUAUACUCGCGUUCCAACCCUCAACUCUCUUUUCUAGGUUCAUCGAUAUUGAAUCAAGCGAACGCACUUCUAACACCUGUUCUACUUUUGGAAGACCCUGCGUUAUAUCACCAGAUCUCGAUUUUUCAUAUAUAAAUGUAACUAAUGUAUCCCCUUCGUAAAGGAUUGCUCCAUAAUGCCCAUGAACAGUUGCUCCAGGAGUAGCCAAAUAAGGCUUAGCUGAUCGUAUUACUACAGAGUUAACUUGAACAAUUAAAACUUGACCGGAUUUUAGGGUAUGGUCCCCUUUUGGUUUAUACGUACAUUUUCACAAAGAAACUGCCCAAGACUAAUUAUCGGGGACAUUUCCUCACAAUAAUUAGGCUGGAGAAAAUACCAAUUCAAAUUAAAUGGAUUCAAAAGGAUCUUACUAUCUGUAUCAGGAUUAUAAAUUUCCCCGGUUUCGUCCAUUAAAUAAUAUUUAAGUACUUGAAAAGGCUGUUUUAAAUUGUCAAGUUUCAAAUAUUUAGUUACCGAGAUAUGAUUAUGAGUUAUUAAAUAGUAAAAUGAAUAAAAAUUCGCAAUUUGAAGGAAUGUUCCUAAGGGUCCCAACGAAGUCUUAAUUGGAGUUAGCGAAUCUUUUUGAAUUGGAAUUGAUUGUUUUAUCACAUUGUGAUAUUUUACAUCGUUCAAUGGACCCAUUCGAAAAUAAUUAGAUGAUGAUAAAAUUAUCAAAACUUGGCAUUCCUUAUUUUUAUUCAAAACGUACGAAUAGUUCCUUGAUUUUGUCUAAGCGAUUGUUCAACCCCUGCCUUGCCAAACACGGAAUAAAACGGAUUGCUAUUGGUGCGAGCUGAACCAUUAUCAGAAAUUAAUCCUGAACCCGACGGAUGAUCCUUUUUCUGAGAUACGAAAUAUUGGAUUUCACUAAGUUGAUUCUUAGGAAAAUUUCGAAUCAGACCAUUUGUACGUACUUCAACAAAGGAAGCACAAACCUCUUCGACGGAAGAACUUUUGUUGUCUUGGUCCCAAUUCAACACUAAACACGUCCGAACUAAUUGAAGACUUGUAUCAGAAAUUCCCCCAGCGGCUUUGCCCUUCCCAUAAAGGACAUAAUUGACAACUCGAAAUUGCAUAUUAUCCUUUUUCCCGCAGCGGAUCCUGGGGAACACAUCUAGAAGCCCGGUUACUCCGCAUUUAGACAAAAAUGGAAUUGUGAUGCUGGGAUCUUGGGUAGAGACGGCGAUAUUUUAGUAGGUAAAUUAACGCCUCAGGCGGCGAAAGAAUCAUCGUAUGCUCCGGAAGAUAGAUUAUUAGGGCCAUACUUGGCAUUCAGGUAUCCACUUCAAAGGAAACUUGCCUAAAACUACCUAUAGGUGGUAGGGGUCGCGUUAUUGAUGUGAGAUGGGUCCAGAAAAAGGGGGGUUCUAGUUAUAAUCCAGAAACGAUUUGUGUAUAUAUUUCACAGAAACGUGAAAUCAAAGUAGGUGAUAAAGUAGCUGGAAGACAUGGAAAUAGGGUAUCGUUUCAAAAAAUUUUGCCUAGACAGGAUAUGCCUUAUUUGCAAGAUGGAAGGCCUGUUGAUAUGGUUUUCAACCACUAGGAGUACCCUCGCGAAUGAAAUGUAGGACAGAUAUUUGAAUGCUCGCUCGGUUAGCGGGGGGUCUGCUAAAUCGACAUUAUCGAAUAGCACCUUUUGAUGAGAGAUAUGAACAAGAGGCUUCGAGAAAACUCGUGUUUUCUGAAUUAAUAUGAAGCCAGUAAGCAAACCGCGAAUCCAUGGGUAUUUGAGCCGGAAUACCCGGGAAAAAGCAGAAUAUUUGAUGGACGAACGGGAGAUCCUUUUGAAGAACCUGUUCUAAUAGGAAAGCCUUUAUAUCUUGAAAUUAAUUCAUCAAGUUUGAUGAUAAAGUACACGGACGUUCCAGUGGGCAUUAUGCACUUGUUACCCAACAACCCCUUAGAGGAAGGUCCAAACAAGGGGACAACGGGUAGGAGAAAUGGAGGUUUGGGCUCUAGAGGGCUUUGGGUGUUGCUCAUAUUUUACAAGAGAUGCUUACUUAUAAAUCUGAUCAUAUUAGAGCGCGCCAAGAAGUACUUGGUACUACAAUCAUUGGAGAAACAAUACCUAACCGGAAGAUGCUCCAGAAUCUUUUCGAUUGCUCGUUCGAGAACUACGAUCUUUGGCUUUGGAACUGAAUCAUUUUGUUGUAUCUGAGAAAAACUUCCAGAUUAAUAAGAAGGAAGCUUAAUCGGAAUGAAUCAAAAAUUUUCUUCUAUGAUUGAUCGAUAUAAACAUCAACAACUCCGAAUUGGAUCAGUUUCUCCUCAACAAAUACGCGCUUGGGCCAAUAAAAUCCUACCUAAUGGAGAGAUAAUUGGAGAAGUGACAAAACCCUAUACUUUUCAUUACAAAACCAAUAAACCGGAAAAAGAUGGAUUAUUUUGUGAAAGAAUUUUUGGGCCUAUUAAAAGUGGAAUUUGUGCUUGUGGAAAUUAUCGAAUAAUCGGAGAUGAAAAAGAAGACCCGCAAUUUUGUGAACAAUGUGGGGUUGAAUUUGUUGAUUCUCGGAUACGAAGAUAUCAAAUGGGAUACAUAAAACUGGGAUGCCCAGUAACCCACGUGUGGUAUUUGAAACGUCUUCCUAGUUAUAUCGCGAAUCUUUUAGAUAAACCUCUUAAAGAAUUAGAAGGCCUAGUAUAUUGCGAUGUGUGAUUUGAUCGAAAUUUUGAUUUUACAGAUUCGAAAUAUGAAACUGUCAUCCCAGGCAAUCGAAUUGGGAUGCCCUGAACCUGACAUGUCUCUUUGGAGGAGUCACAUGAAGCUCAGACCGAUGGGUGUAUUCAAUACUCCCCCCAAAAACGAAAAAGGGGAAUUGGUCUAUGGUCGAUUCAGUAAAAAAUAAAUAAGAAUUUCUAGUUGUACCUCGUGAAAAAAAAAAAUGAAAUUCUGUUCCUCAAGUAAGCAAAUAUGUCAUGGUUGGGGGAGUCUAUACAUCGCAUAUAGGCUUUAAGUAUAUCGUGGCAUAACCGUCGAGGUGAAGCAGGACCUAAAAGAUCGAAAGGAACGAUACAUAGACAAAAAAUCCCUUAUGAAUUCCAAGGCACUUCUUUCCUUUAAUUUAUUUAAUUUAAGGUAAGGGGAUUUGUCAUUCGGGGGAAGUAGACUACUCAAGAAUUUCACAUUUCAGUUUCGUAAUUUAUAAUUGAAUAAAGAAUUUCGAAAAUCUCAAUAAAAGGAAAAGAAGAAUGAAUCAAUGAAAUGUUGCUUGGUCUUUACUGGGAACUUGAGUAAGGAGUAGUUGUUUUGGGUAUGGGGUUUUUUAUAGAAUUUGAAAGCGAGAAUCCCUUUCUUUAUCCUUAUUUGGCGUAACUACUUGAGCCGGAUGAGAAGAAACGCUCAUGUCCGAUUUUGAUGGGGGGGAGAUCCCAUAGGAUAGGGUCCUAUCCCAAUUUUUCUUUUGCUAGGCCUAUAGCGAAAAAACCGACUUUUUUACGAUUACGCGGUUCAUUCGAAUAUGAAAUACAAUCCUGGAAAUACAGCAUCCCACUUUUUUUUACUACCCAAGGUUUCGAUAAAUUUCGUAACCGAGAAAUUUCUACUGGAGCAGUUGCUAUCCGGGAACAAUUAGCCGAUCUAGAUUUGCGAAUUAUUCUAGAUAAUUCCUUGUUAGAAUGGAAAGAAUUAGGGGAAGAAGGGCCCGCCGGUAAUGACUGGGAAGAUCGAAAAAUUGGACGAAGAAGGGAUUUUUUGGUUAGACGCAUGGAAUUAGCUAAGCAUUUUCUUCGAACAAAUAUAGAACCAGAGUGGAUGGUUUUAUGUCUAUUACCUGUUCUUCCUCCGAGUUGAGGCCUAUCAUUCAAAUAGAUGGAGGUAAACUAAUGAGUUCAGAUAUUAAUGAACUCUAUAGAAGAGUUAUCUAUCGGAACAAUACUCUUAUCGACCUAUUAACAACAAGUAGAUCUACGCCAGGGGAAUUGGUAAUGUGUCAGGAGAAAUUGGUACAAGAAGCCGUGGAUACGCUUCUUGAUAAUGGAAUCCGUGGACAGCCAAUGAGGGAUGGUCAUAAUAAGAUUUAUAAGUCGUUUUCAGAUGUAAUUGAAGGAAAAGAGGGAAGAUUUCGUGAGACUCUGCUUGGCAAACGGGUCGAUUAUUCGGGGCGGUCUGUCAUUGUUGUGGGCCCCUCACUUUCAUUACAUCAAUGUGGAUUGCCUCGCGAAAUCGCAAUAGAGCUUUUCCAGACUUUUGUAAUUUGUGGGCUAAUUAGACAACACCUUGCUUCGAACAUAGGAGUUGCUAAGAGUAAAAUUCGGGAAAAAGGGCCGAUUAUCUGGGAAAUACUGCAGGAAGUUAUGCAGGGACAUCCAGUAUUGCUGAAUAGAGCGCCUACUCUGCAUAGAUUGGGCGUACAGGCAUUCCAGCCCAUUUUAGUGGAAGGGCGCGCUAUUUGUUUACAUCCAUUAGUUUGUAAGGGAUUCAACGCAGACUUUGAUGGGGAUCAAAUGGCUGUUCAUGUACCCUUAUCUUUAGAGGCUCAAGCAGAGGCUCGGUUACUUAUGUUUUCUCAUAUGAAUCUCUUGUCUCCUACUAUUGGAGAUCCCAUUUCCAUACCGACUCAAGAUAUGCUUAUUGGGCUCUAUGUAUUAACGAGCGGGAAUCGUCGAGGUAUUUGUGCAAAUAGGUAUAAUACAUGGAAUCGAAGAAAUUAUCCAGAUGAAAGAAUUGACGAUAAUAGCUAUACGUAUACGAAAGAACCCUUUUUGUAAUUCCUAAGCAAUUGACUAAGAAAAACAAAGAUAUCUUUGAUUGAUAACGCAUCAAGGAAUUAAAAAAGUUCUUUGUAUUAUAGCUAUUAUCGUCAUUCUUUCAUCUGGAUAAUUUCUUCGAUUCCAUGUAUUAUACCUAUUUGCACAAAUACCUCGACGAUUCCCGCUCGUAAUACAUAGAGCCAAUAAGCAUAUCUUGAGUCGGUAUGGAAAUGGGAUCUCCAAUAGUAGGAGACAAGAGACAUAAGUAACCGAGCCUCUGCUUGAGCCUCUAAAGAUAAGGGUACAUGAACAGCCAUUUGAUCCCCAUCAAAGUCUGCGUUGAAUCCCUUACAAACUAAUGGAUGUAAACAAAUAGCGCGCCCUUCCACUAAAAUGGGCUGGAAUGCCUGUACGCCCAAUCUAUGCAGAGUAGGCGCUCUAUUCAGCAAUACUGGAUGUCCCUGCAUAACUUCCUGCAGUAUUUCCCAGAUAAUCGGCCCUUUUUCCCGAAUUUUACUCUUAGCAACUCCUAUGUUCGAAGCAAGGUGUUGUCUAAUUAGCCCACAAAUUACAAAAGUCUGGAAAAGCUCUAUUGCGAUUUCGCGAGGCAAUCCACAUUGAUGUAAUGAAAGUGAGGGGCCCACAACAAUGACAGACCGCCCCGAAUAAUCGACCCGUUUGCCAAGCAGAGUCUCACGAAAUCUUCCCUCUUUUCCUUCAAUUACAUCUGAAAACGACUUAUAAAUCUUAUUAUGACCAUCCCUCAUUGGCUGUCCACGGAUUCCAUUAUCAAGAAGCGUAUCCACGGCUUCUUGUACCAAUUUCUCCUGACACAUUACCAAUUCCCUGGCGUAGAUCUACUUGUUGUUAAUAGGUCGAUAAGAGUAUUGUUCCGAUAGAUAACUCUUCUAUAGAGUUCAUUAAUAUCUGAACUCAUUAGUUUACCUCCAUCUAUUUGAAUGAUAGGCCUCAACUCGGGAGGAAGAACAGGUAAUAGACAUAAAACCAUCCACUCUGGUUCUAUAUUUGUUCGAAGAAAAUGCUUAGCUAAUUCCAUGCGUCUAACCAAAAAAUCCCUUCUUCGUCCAAUUUUUCGAUCUUCCCAGUCAUUACCGGCGGGCCCUUCUUCCCCUAAUUCUUUCCAUUCUAACAAGGAAUUAUCUAGAAUAAUUCGCAAAUCUAGAUCGGCUAAUUGUUCCCGGAUAGCAACUGCUCCAGUAGAAAUUUCUCGGUUACGAAAUUUAUCGAAACCUUGGGUAGUAAAAAAAAGUGGGAUGCUGUAUUUCCAGGAUUGUAUUUCAUAUUCGAAUGAACCGCGUAAUCGUAAAAAAGUCGGUUUUUUCGCUAUAGGCCUAGCAAAAGAAAAAUUGGGAUAGGACCCUAUCCUAUGGGAUCUCCCCCCAUCAAAAUCGGACAUGAGCGUUUCUUCUCAUCCGGCUCAAGUAGUUACGCCAAAUAAGGAUAAAGAAAGGGAUUCUCGCUUUCAAAUUCUAUAAAAAACCCCAUACCCAAAACAACUACUCCUUACUCAAGUUCCCAGUAAAGACCAAGCAACAUUUCAUUGAUUCAUUCUUCUUUUCCUUUUAUUGAGAUUUUCGAAAUUCUUUAUUCAAUUAUAAAUUACGAAACUGAAAUGUGAAAUUCUUGAGUAGUCUACUUCCCCCGAAUGACAAAUCCCCUUACCUUAAAUUAAAUAAAUUAAAGGAAAGAAGUGCCUUGGAAUUCAUAAGGGAUUUUUUUGUCUAUGUAUCGUUCCUUUCGAUCUUUUAGGUCCUGCUUCACCUCGACGGUUAUGCCACGAUAUACUUAAAGCCUAUAUGCGAUGUAUAGACUCCCCCAACCAUGACAUAUUUGCUUACUUGAGGAACAGAAUUUCAUUUUUUUUUUUCACGAGGUACAACUAGAAAUUCUUAUUUAUUUUUUACUGAAUCGACCAUAGACCAAUUCCCCUUUUUCGUUUUUGGGGGGAGUAUUGAAUACACCCAUCGGUCUGAGCUUCAUGUGACUCCUCCAAAGAGACAUGUCAGGUUCAGGGCAUCCCAAUUCGAUUGCCUGGGAUGACAGUUUCAUAUUUCGAAUCUGUAAAAUCAAAAUUUCGAUCAAAUCACACAUCGCAAUAUACUAGGCCUUCUAAUUCUUUAAGAGGUUUAUCUAAAAGAUUCGCGAUAUAACUAGGAAGACGUUUCAAAUACCACACGUGGGUUACUGGGCAUCCCAGUUUUAUGUAUCCCAUUUGAUAUCUUCGUAUCCGAGAAUCAACAAAUUCAACCCCACAUUGUUCACAAAAUUGCGGGUCUUCUUUUUCAUCUCCGAUUAUUCGAUAAUUUCCACAAGCACAAAUUCCACUUUUAAUAGGCCCAAAAAUUCUUUCACAAAAUAAUCCAUCUUUUUCCGGUUUAUUGGUUUUGUAAUGAAAAGUAUAGGGUUUUGUCACUUCUCCAAUUAUCUCUCCAUUAGGUAGGAUUUUAUUGGCCCAAGCGCGUAUUUGUUGAGGAGAAACUGAUCCAAUUCGGAGUUGUUGAUGUUUAUAUCGAUCAAUCAUAGAAGAAAAUUUUUGAUUCAUUCCGAUUAAGCUUCCUUCUUAUUAAUCUGGAAGUUUUUCUCAGAUACAACAAAAUGAUUCAGUUCCAAAGCCAAAGAUCGUAGUUCUCGAACGAGCAAUCGAAAAGAUUCUGGAGCAUCUUCCGGGUUAGGUAUUGUUUCUCCAAUGAUUGUAGUACCAAGUACUUCUUGGCGCGCUCUAAUAUGAUCAGAUUUAUAAGUAAGCAUCUCUUGUAAAAUAUGAGCAACACCAAAGCCCUCUAGAGCCCAAACCUCCAUUUCUCCUACCCGUUGUCCCCCUUGUUUGGACCUUCCUCUAAGGGGUUGUUGGGUAACAAGUGCAUAAUGCCCACUGGAACGUCCGUGUACUUUAUCAUCAACUUGAUGAAUUAAUUUCAAGAUAUAAGGCUUUCCUAUUAGAACAGGUUCUUCAAAAGGAUCUCCCGUUCGUCCAUCAAAUAUUCUGCUUUUUCCCGGGUAUUCCGGCUCAAAUACCCAUGGAUUCGCGGUUUGCUUACUGGCUUCAUAUAAUUCAGAAAACACGAGUUUUCUCGAAGCCUCUUGUUCAUAUCUCUCAUCAAAAGGUGCUAUUCGAUAAUGUCGAUUUAGCAGACCCCCCGCUAACCCGAGCGAGCAUUCAAAUAUCUGUCCUACAUUCAUUCGCGAGGGUACUCCUAGUGGGUUGAAAACCAUAUCAACAGGCCUUCCAUCUUGCAAAUAAGGCAUAUCCUGUCUAGGCAAAAUUUUUGAAACGAUACCCUUAUUUCCAUGUCUUCCAGCUACUUUAUCACCUACUUUGAUUUCACGUUUCUGUGAAAUAUAUACACAAAUCGUUUCUGGAUUAUAACUAGAACCCCCUUUUUCUGGACCCAUCUCACAUCAAUAACGCGACCCCUACCACCUAUAGGUAGUUUUAGGCAAGUUUCCUUUGAAGUGGAUACCUGAAUGCCAAGUAUGGCCCGUAAUAAUCUAUCUUCCGGAGCAUACGAUGAUUCUUUCGCCGCCUGAGGCGUUAAUUUACCUACUAAAAUAUCGCCGGUCUCUACCCAAGAUCCCAGCAUCACAAUUCCAUUUUUGUCUAAAUUGCGGAGUAACCGGGCUUCUAGAUGUGGUAUUUCAUUAGUGAUCCUUUCGGGACCUUGACUUGUCACAUGAGUCUGAAUUUCGUAUUUCCGUAUGUGAAAAGAAGUAUAAAUAUCUCUAUAUAUCAGACGUUCGCUAAUAAGUACCGCAUCCUCAAAAUUGUAGCCUUCCCAUGGCAUAUAAGCUACUAAUAUGUUUUUCCCUAAAGCGAGUUCGCCGCCAACUGUAGCGGCACCAUCCGCUAAAACUUGGCCCUUUUUAAUGCAUUUACCCCGCCCAACCUGGGGUUUUUGAUGCAUACAAGUAUUUUUGUUUGAACGUUGAUACAUAAUUAAUGGGAUACUAUAUGUAUUACCGUUUCCCGAUAAAAACAAUCUUGUCAAUAUCGGUAUAAAUGAUCUUUUCCCUCGUGUUCGGCUAUAGCGGGAACCCCUGAAUCUAGAGCCACUUGAGGUUCCAACCCAGUUCCAACAAUGCACUUCUCGGACCGAACGAGCGGAACUGCUUGGCGUUGCAUAUUAGAACUCAUUAAAGCCCGAUUCGCAUCAUUAUGCUCGAUAAAAGGAAUGAGGGAAGCCCCAAUAGAAAAAUAUUGGAAGGGAAAAAUACUUCGAAGAUGAACCUGUUCCCACGCAAUAAGUCAGGAACUCUUGACGGUAUCGAGUCGGAAACAACCUGUUCUUCCGGACUACCCUGAUUCAGUGCCAAAGAAUUUCCUGCCGCUACCAUAUAGUAUUCAUCUCUACUUGGUGAUAAAUAAAGCAUCCGUACUUUUUUUGAUUUUUCAAAGAUUUCAUAAAACGGGCUUUCUAGAGACCCCAAUAACCAAUUCUCGCAUGAAUUGCUAAGGAUCCAAUAAGUCCAACAUUGAUUCCUUCGGACGUGUCAAUUGGACAAAUGCGGCCAUAGUGACUAGGAUGGAUAUCUCGUACCCGAAAACUCGCAGUUCGCCCUGUCAAUCCUCCGGGGCCCAAAUAACUCAAUUUUCUCCCAUGAACUAUUUGUGUCAAUGGGUUAGUUCGAUCCAAAACUUGAGAUAAUGGAUGUAAUCCGAAAAAAAGAAUCAUAAGUGGUUGUUAAGGGAGUUGAAGUUACCAAAUUUUGAGGAGUUGGCAUCAAUUUAUGCCUAAUUGCUCCACAUAUAGUUCCUCUAAUCACAUUUUCUAACCGAACCAGGGCCAAUCCGAAUUGAUCUUGUAAAAGAUUCGCGACAGACCGAAUACGUUUAUUUUUCAAAAUGAUUCAUAUCGUCAAGUGUACCCAUUCCAAAUUUCAGUCCAAUCAAAUGAUCGACAGCUGCCAAUACAUCUCGUGGUAACAAAAAAUGUAUUGUUCUGAGGUAUAUUCAGAUUCAGUCUCUGGUUCAUAUUUCGUCUACCAAUCUUUCCUAAUUCACAUCUUUGGUGAAAAAAAUUUCUUUUGUAAUUCUUACAUAAGGAUUCCGAAAAUACCGGAUCUCCGCCUACACAAGCAAAUUGUUGAUAAAACUCCAAAAUGGCAUUUUCUUUUGAUCCAAUUUUUUUUUUCUCCUUAUUCGUCAGGAAAGACAAGAAAAAUUUCAGGGUAGCAAAUAUUCUCUAGAAUUUCUCGUAGAUUCGAACCCAUAGCUGCUGAUAGAACUAGAAUAGAUACUUUCUGUUUCCUACUCACACGAGCCCAUAUCCUUGCUUUUCUAUCAAUCUCUAUUCGAAUCUUCCCCCCCAAUCAGAUAUUAUGGUGCCUGUAUAGACCGAAAUUCCGUUAUGGCCCAAUUCUGACCGAUAAUAGAUACCGGGACUUUGCAAUAUUUGAUUGAUGACAAUUCUGUAUAUUCCGUUUACUAUAGAAGUCCCAAAGAAUUCAUUAGAGGAAUGUUUCCAAUAAAAAUAGUUUGUUCCUGCAUGUCCCCUCGGCUUUUCCAAAUUAAUCCUGCGGAUACAUAUAAUUCAGAAGAAUACGUGAAUGAUUCAUAUACAGCAUCUCUUUCUUUUAGCAAGGGUUCUACCAAUUGAUAUGUUUCCACAAAUAAUUGAAAUUCAAUUUCUUGAUCUGUAUCUUCAAUUUUUGGAAACUUAUAAAGCUCUUCUGUUAAGCCCUGAUCAAUGAACCUACAAAAUCCUUCAAAUUGUAUCUGAUUCAACCCAGGUAUUGUAGACAUUCCUGCAUUUCCAUCUCCGAGCAUUUUGAAUUUCCCAUUUAUCAAAAAAUCCCAUUCGUUUCUCAUUCUGCAUCGAUUCAUAUGAUUCGAUGCAGAAUGCUGGAAUUUAGAUUCUGUUUACUGAAUCGCAUGAAAUUUUACCCAACUCCAUAUAGAUGGAAUGUAUGAAAUACGUAUGAACGGGGGAAAAAGGAUGAUUUUAUACUUAAUAAAAUUGGAAUUUCUAAAGAGACCAGAUCCAAAUGGAAAGGAAGCGAUAAAUUCCACUUAGACUUACGGAGUUUUGUAUAGAAUCAAAAAAAUAAUUCAAUUUAUACCAUUAUUAUGAUAUUCCAAUCCGUUAGGAUACCAGAAAAAUAAACGUCGUGAUUUGAUCUAUUCGCUAAGAUAAAGACAUAAGAAUCAGACACAAUAUACCAGCGUAAAGCUCAUUUUUUUAGCACUUACCUUUUCGUGGAUUCCACUGUUCAAAAAAUGAUUUUGCGAAGAACCCCCUUUUUUAUUUUUUUAGUCGAAUUUUUAGAAUAGGAUUGAAGUGCGUAAGACGGCUUGUAUUUAGUAAACCCGUGCCGAUAUAGCUAUCUAUAUAUACAUCGCCCCCCUUUAUUGCAUAGUUCGCUUCGGGACAGCGCAUGUCGUGCUCUAUCAAAAAUUUCGAUUUUCUCUUCAAUCUAAAUUGCCAGUACGACAAUUUUCGGCAAAUUCCCUAUAGAGAGGCAUCAGACACAGAUAAGAUAACCAAUAAGCUAGCCGCGAAACGAUUUAUGUUUGGGGUUUACAUAUACUCAUAAUUGCUGUUAUAAUUGAAAUGGAGAAGGCUUUUUUUAUAGAAAAAACCAAUAUUGAUUAGGUAGGUAUCAAUUUUGAUUUUCUUCUAUCAUUAGGAAACACAAUUUACAAUUAAAAUUUAAAUCCAAGAGUUGGUCACGAAUUUACAGUCACUAGUUAAUGGUUCCAAUUUGUCCUUAAUUUUGGCUUUUUGUGACUGAAAAUGCACAUUUCUUUUUUCAUUUUUCAAUAGAAAAAAAGAAAGAGAAAAGAGAGGGAUUAAGAUGUUGUGUGAGAUACUAUAAAAUCAAUUGAAGAACCGGAGCCGAUCCAAAAAAAGGACAUAUUUUUUUUAGGCAAGGAAUUAAGAAAAACGAGAUUUUAUAUGGACGUACACAAAAAAAAGAAAAGACAUUGAGUACCCCCCCCCAAACAAAACAAGCAAAGGGGGAAUUUUUUCAUCUAUUUUGUAUCGUUUUGGCGGCAUGGCCGAGCGGUAAGGCGGGGGACUGCAAAUCCUUUUUCCCCAGUUCAAAUCUGGGUGUCGCCUGAUCAACAAACGAUAAGACUCGCAAUCCCUUAUUCUGCUUGGCUGGUCUAACUCGCCGAAUCUUUUCCAGCAAAGUAACGCGACUCUUGACAUUUUCGUGAUUCGAAAUAGCUGGGGUUUCUGUUCUUUUUUUUUUCUGUUCCUUAAACUUAAAGUGCUGUUAAUCCUUGCAUUUAGGAUUCACGGAAAGAUUAUAGUAGUAGAAGCGCUUUCAUAUCAAAUCAAGAGUUACCGAUUUAUUUCCACUGCUAAUUGCUAAUGCAGGGUCUACUGACCGGGUCUUGAAUUAGAUUGAAAAGCCCGAGGGAGAAUCGAAUUAAUCGUUAUGGAAGGGGCGGGAGAUACUUUGUAUGCAGUAUACAGACUCAUAAGAGUCUCUGAAUGCACGGGCAUUCAAUCAAUAUUCGAUUGGACGGAUAAUUGGCUUUUACUUAAUGAUAAUAAAGGGCAACAAAAAAAACGAGGAGUUCUUAUUAUUACUACAGAUUAGGUAACACUCCCUUUGAUACUUCAAAGAAAAGUGCGACUGUGUAUUUUGUUUCAUUUUUUCCGGAUUCUACUAGAAAUCAUAUACGAACUUGUUCUAAGUGGAUUUAUUGGAGCGUUUCAUAUUUAGUGGAGUCUUUCAUCAAGGGCGUUGGGCCAGAAUCCCUUUUUGACUCUGCGCCAGUGAUUCCACUAUUAUUAGGAAAACAAUAAUAGAAUAAAUUCUUCAUAUUCAUAGAGAUAGGGGACAUAAUUCACAUGGAUAUAGUAAGUCUCGCUUGGGCUGCUUUAAUGGUAGUCUUUACAUUUUCCCUUUCGCUCGUAGUAUGGGGAAGAAGUGGACUCUAGAGAUACUACUAAUUGAGUUGGGGAAUCAAACUGUAUCACUUUUUUUAUAGAUCGUUCUGCAAAGCCUUUUUAAUUAUAUUAAUUAUUUAAGAAUUAAUAUAAUAAUUAAAUUCAGUAAUUAAAUUCCAUUUAGAAUUUCGAAAUUGAAUUAAUCAAAAUACCUUCAUUUCGGAAUUCUAUUGCUUGGAUUCUGGCGAGGUAAUUGUAUUCGAUUCUAUUAUGAAUAGAAUACAAUUCAUAAUAUAUAUGAAUAAUGCUCUUUCCGAAUCCAAAUCAAACCGAUAUUCCAAAAAUUCCCCUAUUUCUAUUUUGAAAGGAAGGGGGAUACAGAUCAUAGGAAUUUUAUUCCAACCGAAGUCUUCCUAGAUUUUCUAUUUGGUUUUUCUGAACCGGCCCUUGCCAGAGUUCUCUAUGGACAAUGGGGAAGAACGCGGGAAAACCGGACCCCCCUUUUUUUUUAUUGGACUGUUCAAAGAGAAAAGAAAGGGUUCACGAUUUAAUUUGAAUAGUUAAUAAUAAUAAGAUUGUGCUUUGGUCAAGUCACAUAUUUCGCACUUACCACCGAUUUUAUUAUUUUUUAUUAUUUGAGUAUUUUAGAAAUUUUGCUUUCUGCUAUGCUUUAUUGACCCGUUUCAUAUCAUGGCUCCAGGGUUGACAAUCGCCGGGGUACCCCUUUUUGAAAUCGGAAGAAGUUAUAGAAUAGAACUCCUUGGAUCAUCUGUCAACCGCUCAAUCAACGACUUCUUCGGAAUGCUAAAAAAAAACGAUUACUUUAUUUCUUUCCUAUUUCAUUUUCUUUUAUUAACUUGAUUUUCUUUUAGUAAUAUAUGCCCAAAUUUGUUUUUUCUUUCAUCGAUUUGAUUCUUUUUUUAUUUUUAAUGGAUACCGAGAUUCAUAUUGAAAAUAAUCUGAAAUAAAUAAAUUUGAAAAUCGUAAGAGCAGCCUUUCGAUUAUUUCAGAUUGAUUGGAAUGAACAAAAAGAAAAUACAAAUAGACGAAGCAAAGAAAUAGAAUUGAGAUACUAUGUAUCUAUUAACAUGUAUAAGGAUCCAUAUCCAUAUUGUAGAUUGAUCUCUAUUCAGUUUCUAUCUUUAUACAUAAAAAAAAAUAAAAAUAGAUAGUAUGGUAGAAAGAUUCAUAUAUGAAUCUUUCUACCAUACUAUCGAAUCUCAUAGGCUACUGCUGAUUCUAGUCCGUUGGUUUCAUUUAAGACUAAGACAUGAAAUUGAAAUUUGUUUCUUAAAUCCUUGAUAAGAACUAAGAAGUCAAGUUUCGUUCAAAUUAAUCACUUUGACUGACCGUUUUUACGUAUAUUAUAAGCAAAAACGCAGUAGGAACUAGAACGAACAGUGUAGUAGCAAUAAAUGCGAGAAUAUUUACUUCCAUAGUCUCAUCGUUUGGUUUUUUUUUUUACUUCGCAAUAACUCGGGAUUUAAUCCCAUAGAGAUGAUAACCCUUUCGCUUGUAAAUUCAAUGGGAUGAAUUACAUUUCGAUGAUAGCGAAUGGGAUCAAUAUCAUGAAUAACAAUAUUUGACUGUCAAGUCGAUUCAUCGUCGAGAAUUCAAUAGUAUAACAUAGGCAGCUCUUUUAUCCACACACCAAAUACAAACUUUGAUUCCUGAUUCAAUCAAAAGAAUUCCUUUACUUUAAUACUAAUACUUUUUUAAUACUAAUACUUUUUUUAUUUACCAGUCUUUUCCAGUCUGUCUUUUCUAUAAUCGACCGCCUUACUUGUACAACCCCCUAACCGCUUUACACUUUCCUUGUUUACAAAGGGUUUAGAAAAAAACCAAACAAACAAUCGAAACGAAAUAGAAAAAGAAAAAGGGAAGGGGUUAAGUUCUAAACCCCUUUUCAUUUUCUUUUUUUCAAGAAAAUUAUAUCAUUAAAAAAAAAAAAAACGAAAAAGAAGUGUGAUAAAGACGAGUCCCAGUAUAAAAGAAUCGAAUAUUUCAUAAAAUUGACUAUUUUAUUUAGAUUUAUUUAGAGUUUCUUCUUCUUUGGCAAUACGCUUAAAAAAGAUUAUUCAUUCCCUCUUCGGGAGGGGUUGGCGCCUUGCUUGAUCUUUAUUUUAUUAAGAAUAUCAUCCCCCUCCCUUGGAUUAGUACUAGAACGUAUCCCUCAAAAGUUCGGCGUGAAAUUUGAAUGAGAUAAAUUCUUUCAAAUUCAAACUAGUAAUUUAAGUUAGCCAAACUAGAAACCAGAAAAGAAGAUACUUUGAAUCUUAAUCUUAAAAGUAUUCUAUCAAAGUAACGAUCUUAAAUUCAGUUGUGUAUACGCUCCCGGGAACGAUAUGGUACUCGAUUCCAUUCCAUACACAGAUGGGGGACAGUCAAAAAAACCAGACCCCCUACGGUAGCUCUUGGAAUCCUGAAUAUGAUGCUACCAAUAAUUGUAGCAAUUCGCACAUGUCUCUUUCUCAUCAAUCGGUACUAGUUGAUGAGAAAUCGAAAUGAAAAAGAAAAAAGAGCAAAGGAGAGCAGUAGGCAUGAAAUUCUACCAUUUUAUUUUGCCCCAGUUUAACAGAAACGGCGAGAUAUAUUGAUGUUUUUUUUUAUUGGAUUUGGAUCCGUCGGGACUGACGGGGCUCGAACCCGCAGCUUCCGCCUUGACAGGGCGGUGCUCUGACCAAUUGAACUACAAUCCCGGGGCGGUAAAAUGUACCGAAUACCUAUUUUUAUGAUUUCAUUCAAACAAUUUCAUUUAUAUUUAGAUAAAUAUCGACGUGUUGGAACCGAGACGUGAGUGAGAUAUUGAUAUACACACGGAUAUACACUUUAGUGAGAGCGGCACGGAUUCCUUUCGUUAUUGCCAAAUCAAUUGAUAAUUCGUUUUUCAAUGUCCCAAAAAAAAAAGAGUCUUUUUUUGCGUUACUUUAUUCUUUUCAUUAGACUUUAUGCUUUCGAUUUCAUGAUCCUGAUAUGAAUCUAGAUCAUUAUUAGCAAGAUCAGAAUUUAUGGGAACAAAUAAAUGGAGCAAACAAAAUAAAUAAAUAGCGGUAGGGAUCUAUCGGAGAAUUGGACUCUUUUGAUUCUUGAGUCUUUCGUAUCUGGCAUUUCUGGAAAACAAAGGGGGUUAUAUCAUUUCCUGUUGGAUCAGCGAAUUAUUGGGCCGAGCUGGAUUUGAACCAGCGUAGACAUAUUGCCAACGAAUUUACAGUCCGUCCCAUUAACCGCUCGGCAUCGACCCAGGAAGAAUAAAGUCUAGGCUUAUUUAUAAUCCACGAUCAACUUCCUUUCGUAGUACCCUACCCCCAGGGGAAGUCGAAUCCCCGCUGCCUCCUUGAAAGAGAGAUGUCCUGAACCGCUAGACGAUGGGGGCAUAUUUGCCCGACUGCCAUCAUACUUAGUAUGAACAGUUUUUUGAAAUUGUCAAUAUAAUGGAAUGGAUGACUAACUCUAAAAGUAAAGGAUCUUUCCACCUUUUCUGAUCCCAUACCAAUAGCUUUUUUUGAUUCGUCCAUCAAUCGCUCAUUCUAAUCGCCAUUCUAGUCUAAAAUCGAAAUCUAUUAUAGAAAUUGCUAUAAAUAAUAAUAAAAUAAAAAUAGCCGAAAGACGAAAGUAGAGACUCUUUUGGGAGUGAUUGGUCCGACAUAAAAGAAGAUUUUUUUUUUCAUUUCUUACUUAAUUUCAUUCAUUUAUCCACUCCUUGGUAAUGAUCGGACUAUUCUAUAUCGCCCUAAGCUGGGAAUUACAAAUGAAAUCGAAAAUCUGGGAACGGAUUAAGAUUAACAAGUUAUCAAUUUUUUUUUUUUUUUUUUUUUUUUUUCCAUCUUUAUAAUUUUGGAUUUUCGAAUUACAAAUGAAAUCUUUUUCUUACAUUAACAAUCCUGUCUUUGAAUUAGGGUCCACUUAUUCAUUUCAAUAAUCAAAUUUAUCAUUAUGCAUGUGAUCGCCACCAAGACGAUUCGUGAUUUUGUUUCCCGAAACUGAAAUUUUAGAGAAAAAAAAAAAAAAAAAAAUGAUAACUUGUUAAUCUUAAUCCCCGUUCCAAUUUCGGAUUUCUCAUUUGUGAAUUUCCCAGCUUAGGGCGAUAUAGGAAUAUCGAUCUCAUCUACCAAGGAGUGAUAAAUGAAUGAAAGUUAAGUGGAAGAAAUGAAGAAAAAAUCUUCUUUUAUGUCGGACCAAUCACUUCCCAAAAGAGUCCUCUACUUUCGUCUUUCGCCCUAUUUUAUUUUUAUUAUUAUUUAUAGCAAUUUCUAUAAUAGAUUUCGAUUUUAGACUAGAAUGGCGAUUAGAAUGAGCGAUUGAUGGACGAAUCAAAAAAAAGCUAUUGGUAUGGGAUCAGAAAAGGUGGAAAGAUCCUUUACUUUAGAGUUAGUCAUCCCAUUCCAUUAUAUUGACAAUUUCAAAAAACUGUUCAUACUAAGUAUGAUGGCAGUCGGGCAAAUAUGCCCCCAUCGUCUAGCGGUUCAGGACAUCUCUCUUUCAAGGAGGCAGCGGGGAUUCGACUUCCCCUGGGGGUAGGGUACUACGAAAGGAAGUUGAUCGUGGAUUAUAAAUAAGCCUAGACUUUAUUCUUCCUGGGUCGAUGCCCGAGCGGUUAAUGGGACGGACUGUAAAUUCGUUGGCAAUAUGUCUACGCUGGUUCAAAUCCAGCUCGGCCCAAUAAUUCGCUGAUCCAACAGGAAAUGAUAUAACCCCUUUGUUUUCCAGAAAUGCCAGAUACGAAAGACUCAAGAAUCAAAAGAGUCCAAUUCUCCGAUAGAUCCCUACCGCUAUUUAUUUAUUUUGUUUGCUCCAUUUAUUUGUUCCCAUAAAUUCUGAUCUUGCUAAUAAUGAUCUAGAUUCAUAUCAGGAUCAUGAAAUCGAAAGCAUAAAGUCUAAUGAAAAGAAUAAAGUAACGCAAAAAAAGACUCUUUUUUUUUGGGACAUUGAAAAACGAAUUAUCAAUUGAUUUGGCAAUAACGAAAGGAAUCCGUGCCGCUCUCACUAAAGUGUAUAUCCGUGUGUAUAUCAAUAUCUCACUCACGUCUCGGUUCCAACACGUCGAUAUUUAUCUAAAUAUAAAUGAAAUUGUUUGAAUGAAAUCAUAAAAAUAGGUAUUCGGUACAUUUUACCGCCCCGGGAUUGUAGUUCAAUUGGUCAGAGCACCGCCCUGUCAAGGCGGAAGCUGCGGGUUCGAGCCCCGUCAGUCCCGACGGAUCCAAAUCCAAUAAAAAAAAACAUCAAUAUAUCUCGCCGUUUCUGUUAAACUGGGGCAAAAUAAAAUGGUAGAAUUUCAUGCCUACUGCUCUCCUUUGCUCUUUUUUCUUUUUCAUUUCGAUUUCUCAUCAACUAGUACCGAUUGAUGAGAAAGAGACAUGUGCGAAUUGCUACAAUUAUUGGUAGCAUCAUAUUCAGGAUUCCAAGAGCUACCGUAGGGGGUCUGGUUUUUUUGACUGUCCCCCAUCUGUGUAUGGAAUGGAAUCGAGUACCAUAUCGUUCCCGGGAGCGUAUACACAACUGAAUUUAAGAUCGUUACUUUGAUAGAAUACUUUUAAGAUUAAGAUUCAAAGUAUCUUCUUUUCUGGUUUCUAGUUUGGCUAACUUAAAUUACUAGUUUGAAUUUGAAAGAAUUUAUCUCAUUCAAAUUUCACGCCGAACUUUUGAGGGAUACGUUCUAGUACUAAUCCAAGGGAGGGGGGAUGAUAUUCUUAAUAAAAUAAAGAUCAAGCAAGGCGCCAACCCCUCCCGAAGAGGGAAUGAAUAAUCUUUUUUAAGCGUAUUGCCAAAGAAGAAGAAACUCUAAAUAAAUCUAAAUAAAAUAGUCAAUUUUAUGAAAUAUUCGAUUCUUUUAUACUGGGACUCGUCUUUAUCACACUUCUUUUUCGUUUUUUUUUUUUUAAUGAUAUAAUUUUCUUGAAAAAAAGAAAAUGAAAAGGGGUUUAGAACUUAACCCCUUCCCUUUUUCUUUUUCUAUUUCGUUUCGAUUGUUUGUUUGGUUUUUUUCUAAACCCUUUGUAAACAAGGAAAGUGUAAAGCGGUUAGGGGGUUGUACAAGUAAGGCGGUCGAUUAUAGAAAAGACAGACUGGAAAAGACUGGUAAAUAAAAAAAGUAUUAGUAUUAAAAAAGUAUUAGUAUUAAAGUAAAGGAAUUCUUUUGAUUGAAUCAGGAAUCAAAGUUUGUAUUUGGUGUGUGGAUAAAAGAGCUGCCUAUGUUAUACUAUUGAAUUCUCGACGAUGAAUCGACUUGACAGUCAAAUAUUGUUAUUCAUGAUAUUGAUCCCAUUCGCUAUCAUCGAAAUGUAAUUCAUCCCAUUGAAUUUACAAGCGAAAGGGUUAUCAUCUCUAUGGGAUUAAAUCCCGAGUUAUUGCGAAGUAAAAAAAAAACCAAACGAUGAGACUAUGGAAGUAAAUAUUCUCGCAUUUAUUGCUACUACACUGUUCGUUCUAGUUCCUACUGCGUUUUUGCUUAUAAUAUACGUAAAAACGGUCAGUCAAAGUGAUUAAUUUGAACGAAACUUGACUUCUUAGUUCUUAUCAAGGAUUUAAGAAACAAAUUUCAAUUUCAUGUCUUAGUCUUAAAUGAAACCAACGGACUAGAAUCAGCAGUAGCCUAUGAGAUUCGAUAGUAUGGUAGAAAGAUUCAUAUAUGAAUCUUUCUACCAUACUAUCUAUUUUUAUUUUUUUUAUGUAUAAAGAUAGAAACUGAAUAGAGAUCAAUCUACAAUAUGGAUAUGGAUCCUUAUACAUGUUAAUAGAUACAUAGUAUCUCAAUUCUAUUUCUUUGCUUCGUCUAUUUGUAUUUUCUUUUUGUUCAUUCCAAUCAAUCUGAAAUAAUCGAAAGGCUGCUCUUACGAUUUUCAAAUUUAUUUAUUUCAGAUUAUUUUCAAUAUGAAUCUCGGUAUCCAUUAAAAAUAAAAAAAGAAUCAAAUCGAUGAAAGAAAAACAAAUUUGGGCAUAUAUUACUAAAAGAAAAUCAAGUUAAUAAAAGAAAAUGAAAUAGGAAAGAAAUAAAGUAAUCGUUUUUUUUAGCAUUCCGAAGAAGUCGUUGAUUGAGCGGUUGACAGAUGAUCCAAGGAGUUCUAUUCUAUAACUUCUUCCGAUUUCAAAAAGGGGUACCCCGGCGAUUGUCAACCCUGGAGCCAUGAUAUGAAACGGGUCAAUAAAGCAUAGCAGAAAGCAAAUUUCUAAAAUACUCAAAUAAUAAAAAAUAAUAAAAUCGGUGGUAAGUGCGAAAUAUGUGACUUGACCAAAGCACAAUCUUAUUAUUAUUAACUAUUCAAAUUAAAUCGUGAACCCUUUCUUUUCUCUUUGAACAGUCCAAUAAAAAAAAAGGGGGGUCCGGUUUUCCGCGUUCUUCCCCAUUGUCCAUAGAGAACUCUGGCAAGGCCGGUUCAGAAAAACCAAAUAGAAAAUCUAGGAAGACUUCGGUUGGAAUAAAAUUCCUAUGAUCUGUAUCCCCCUUCCUUUCAAAAUAGAAAUAGGGGAAUUUUGGAAAUAUCGGUUUGAUUUGGAUUCGGAAAGAGCAUUAUUCAUAUAUAUUAUGAAUUGUAUUCUAUUCAUAAUAGAAUCGAAUACAAUUACCUCGCCAGAAUCCAAGCCAAUAGAAUUCCGAAAUGAAGGUAUUUUGAUUAAUUCAAUUUCGAAAUUCUAAAUGGAAUUUAAUUACUGAAUUUAAUUAUUAUAUUAAUUCUUAAAUAAUUAAUAUAAUUAAAAAGGCUUUGCAGAACGAUCUAUAAAAAAAGUGAUACAGUUUGAUUCCCCAACUCAAUUAGUAGUAUCUCUAGAGUCCACUUCUUCCCCAUACUACGAGCGAAAGGGAAAAUGUAAAGACUACCAUUAAAGCAGCCCAAGCGAGACUUACUAUAUCCAUGUGAAUUAUGUCCCCUAUCUCUAUGAAUAUGAAGAAUUUAUUCUAUUAUUGUUUCCUAAUAAUAGUGGAAUCACUGGCGCAGAGUCAAAAAGGGAUUCUGGCCCAACGCCCUUGAUGAAAGACUCCACUAAAUAUGAAACGCUCCAAUAAAUCCACUUAGAACAAGUUCGUAUAUGAUUUCUAGUAGAAUCCGGAAAAAUGAAACAAAAUACACAGUCGCACUUUUCUUUGGAAGUAUCAAAGGGAGUGUUACCUAAUCUGUAGUAAUAAUAAGAACUCCUCGUUUUUUUUGUUGCCCUUUAUUAUCAUUAAGUAAAAGCCAAUUAUCCGUCCAAUCGAAUAUUGAUUGAAUGCCCGUGCAUUCAGAGACUCUUAUGAGUCUGUAUACUGCAUACAAAGUAUCUCCCGCCCCUUCCAUAACGAUUAAUUCGAUUCUCCCUCGGGCUUUUCAAUCUAAUUCAAGACCCGGUCAGUAGACCCUGCAUUAGCAAUUAGCAGUGGAAAUAAAUCGGUAACUCUUGAUUUGAUAUGAAAGCGCUUCUACUACUAUAAUCUUUCCGUGAAUCCUAAAUGCAAGGAUUAACAGCACUUUAAGUUUAAGGAACAGAAAAAAAAAAGAACAGAAACCCCAGCUAUUUCGAAUCACGAAAAUGUCAAGAGUCGCGUACUUUGCUGGAAAAGAUUCGGCGAGUUAGACCAGCCAAGCAGAAUAAGGGAUUGCGAGUCUUAUCGUUUGUUGAUCAGGCGACACCCAGAUUUGAACUGGGGAAAAAGGAUUUGCAGUCCCCCGCCUUACCGCUCGGCCAUGCCGCCAAAACGAUACAAAAUAGAUGAAAAAAUUCCCCCUUUGCUUGUUUUGUUUGGGGGGGGGGUACUCAAUGUCUUUUCUUUUUUUUGUGUACGUCCAUAUAAAAUCUCGUUUUUCUUAAUUCCUUGCCUAAAAAAAAUAUGUCCUUUUUUUGGAUCGGCUCCGGUUCUUCAAUUGAUUUUAUAGUAUCUCACACAACAUCUUAAUCCCUCUCUUUUCUCUUUCUUUUUUUCUAUUGAAAAAUGAAAAAAGAAAUGUGCAUUUUCAGUCACAAAAGCCAAAAUUAAGGACAAAUUGGAACCAUUAACUAGUGACUGUAAAUUCGUGACCAACUCUUGGAUUUAAAUUUUAAUUGUAAAUUGUGUUUCCUAAUGAUAGAAGAAAAUCAAAAUUGAUACCUACCUAAUCAAUAUUGGUUUUUUCUAUAAAAAAAGCCUUCUCCAUUUCAAUUAUAACAGCAAUUAUGAGUAUAUGUAAACCCCAAACAUAAAUCGUUUCGCGGCUAGCUUAUUGGUUAUCUUAUCUGUGUCUGAUGCCUCUCUAUAGGGAAUUUGCCGAAAAUUGUCGUACUGCAAUUUAGAUUGAAGAGAAAAUCGAAAUUUUGAUAGAGCACGACAUGCGCUGUCCCGAAGCGAACUAUGCAAUAAAGGGGGCGAUGUAUAUAUAGAUAGCUAUAUCGGCACGGGUUUACUAAAUACAAGCCGUCUUACGCACUUCAAUCCUAUUCUAAAAAUUCGACUAAAAAAAUAAAAAGGGGUUCUUCGCAAAUCAUUUUUUGAACAGUGGAAUCCACGAAAAAGGUAAGUGCUAAAAAAAUGAGCUUUACGCUGGUAUAUUGUGUCUGAUUCUUAUGUCUUUAUCUUAGCGAAUAGAUCAAAUCACGACGUUUAUUUUUCUGGUAUCCUAACGGAUUGGAAUAUCAUAAUAAUGGUAUAAAUUGAAUUAUUUUUUUGAUUCUAUACAAAACUCCGUAAGUCUAAGUGGAAUUUAUCGCUUCCUUUCCAUUUGGAUCUGUCUCUUAGAAAUUCCAAUUUUAUUAAGUAUAAAAUCAUCCUUUUUCCCCCGUUCAUACGUAUUUCAUACAUUCCAUCUAUAUGGAGUUGGGUAAAAUUUCAUGCGAUUCAGUAAACAGAAUCUAAAUUCCAGCAUUCUGCAUCGAAUCAUAUGAAUCGAUGGCAGAAUGAGAAACGAAUGGGAUUUUUUGAUAAAUGGGAAAUUCAAAAUGCUCGGAGAUGGAAAUGCAGGAAUGUCUACAAUACCUGGGUUGAAUCAGAUACAAUUUGAAGGAUUUUGUAGGUUCAUUGAUCAGGGCUUAACAGAAGAGCUUUAUAAGUUUCCAAAAAUUGAAGAUACAGAUCAAGAAAUUGAAUUUCAAUUAUUUGUGGAAACAUAUCAAUUGGUAGAACCCUUGCUAAAAGAAAGAGAUGCUGUAUAUGAAUCAUUCACGUAUUCUUCUGAAUUAUAUGUAUCCGCAGGAUUAAUUUGGAAAAGCCGAGGGGACAUGCAGGAACAAACUAUUUUUAUUGGAAACAUUCCUCUAAUGAAUUCUUUGGGAACUUCUAUAGUAAACGGAAUAUACAGAAUUGUCAUCAAUCAAAUAUUGCAAAGUCCCGGUAUCUAUUAUCGGUCAGAAUUGGGCCAUAACGGAAUUUCGGGUCUAUACAGGCACCAUAAUAUCUGAUUGGGGGGAAGAUUCGAAUUAGAGAUUGAUAGAAAAGCAAGGAUAUGGGCUCGUGUGAGUAGGAAACAGAAAGUAUCUAUUCUAGUUCUAUCAGCAGCUAUGGGUUCGAAUCUACGAGAAAUUCUAGAGAAUAUUUGCUACCCUGAAAUUUUCUUGUCUUUCCUGACGAAUAAGGAGAAAAAAAAAAUUGGAUCAAAAGAAAAUGCCAUUUUGGAGUUUUAUCAACAAUUUGCUUGUGUAGGCGGAGAUCCGGUAUUUUCGGAAUCCUUAUGUAAGGAAUUACAAAAGAAAUUUUUUCACCAAAGAUGUGAAUUAGGAAAGAUUGGUAGACGAAAUAUGAACCAGAGACUGAAUCUGAAUAUACCUCAGAACAAUACAUUUUUGUUACCACGAGAUGUAUUGGCAGCUGUCGAUCAUUUGAUUGGACUGAAAUUUGGAAUGGGUACACUUGACGAUAUGAAUCAUUUGAAAAAUAAACGUAUUCGUCCUGUCGCGAAUCUUUUACAAGAUCAAUUCGGAUUGGCCCUGGUUCGGUUUAGAAAAUGUGAUUAGAGGAACUAUAUGUGGAGCAAUUAGGCAUAAAUUGAUGCCAACUCCUCAAAAUUUGGUAACUUCAACUCCCUUAACAACCACUUAUGAUUCUUUUUUCGGAUUACAUCCAUUAUCUCAAGUUUUGGAUCGAACUAACCCAUUGACACAAAUAGUUCAUGGGAGAAAAUUGAGUUAUUUGGGCCCCGGAGGAUUGACAGGGCGAACUGCGAGUUUUCGGGUACGAGAUAUCCAUCCUAGUCACUAUGGCCGCAUUUGUCCAAUUGACACGUCCGAAGGAAUCAAUGUUGGACUUAUUGGAUCCUUAGCAAUUCAUGCGAGAAUUGGUUAUUGGGGUCUCUAGAAAGCCCGUUUUAUGAAAUCUUUGAAAAAUCAAAAAAAGUACGAUGCUUUAUUUAUCACCAAGUAGAGAUGAAUACUAUAUGGUAGCGGCAGGAAAUUCUUUGGCACUGAAUCAGGGUAGUCCGGAAGAACAGGUUGUUCCGACUCGAUACCGUCAAGAGUUCCUGACUAUUGCGUGGGAACAGGUUCAUCUUCGAAGUAUUUUUCCCUUCCAAUAUUUUUCUAUUGGGGCUUCCCUCAUUCCUUUUAUCGAGCAUAAUGAUGCGAAUCGGGCUUUAAUGAGUUCUAAUAUGCAACGCCAAGCAGUUCCGCUCGUUCGGUCCGAGAAGUGCAUUGUUGGAACUGGGUUGGAACCUCAAGUGGCUCUAGAUUCAGGGGUUCCCGCUAUAGCCGAACACGAGGGAAAGAUCAUUUAUACCGAUAUUGACAAGAUUGUUUUAUCGGGAAACGGUAAUACAUAUAGUAUCCCAUUAAUUAUGUAUCAACGUUCAAACAAAAAUACUUGUAUGCAUCAAAAACCCCAGGUUGGGCGGGGUAAAUGCAUUAAAAAGGGCCAAGUUUUAGCGGAUGGUGCCGCUACAGUUGGCGGCGAACUCGCUUUAGGGAAAAACAUAUUAGUAGCUUAUAUGCCAUGGGAAGGCUACAAUUUUGAGGAUGCGGUACUUAUUAGCGAACGUCUGAUAUAUAGAGAUAUUUAUACUUCUUUUCACAUACGGAAAUACGAAAUUCAGACUCAUGUGACAAGUCAAGGUCCCGAAAGGAUCACUAAUGAAAUACCACAUCUAGAAGCCCGGUUACUCCGCAAUUUAGACAAAAAUGGAAUUGUGAUGCUGGGAUCUUGGGUAGAGACCGGCGAUAUUUUAGUAGGUAAAUUAACGCCUCAGGCGGCGAAAGAAUCAUCGUAUGCUCCGGAAGAUAGAUUAUUACGGGCCAUACUUGGCAUUCAGGUAUCCACUUCAAAGGAAACUUGCCUAAAACUACCUAUAGGUGGUAGGGGUCGCGUUAUUGAUGUGAGAUGGGUCCAGAAAAAGGGGGGUUCUAGUUAUAAUCCAGAAACGAUUUGUGUAUAUAUUUCACAGAAACGUGAAAUCAAAGUAGGUGAUAAAGUAGCUGGAAGACAUGGAAAUAAGGGUAUCGUUUCAAAAAUUUUGCCUAGACAGGAUAUGCCUUAUUUGCAAGAUGGAAGGCCUGUUGAUAUGGUUUUCAACCCACUAGGAGUACCCUCGCGAAUGAAUGUAGGACAGAUAUUUGAAUGCUCGCUCGGGUUAGCGGGGGGUCUGCUAAAUCGACAUUAUCGAAUAGCACCUUUUGAUGAGAGAUAUGAACAAGAGGCUUCGAGAAAACUCGUGUUUUCUGAAUUAUAUGAAGCCAGUAAGCAAACCGCGAAUCCAUGGGUAUUUGAGCCGGAAUACCCGGGAAAAAGCAGAAUAUUUGAUGGACGAACGGGAGAUCCUUUUGAAGAACCUGUUCUAAUAGGAAAGCCUUAUAUCUUGAAAUUAAUUCAUCAAGUUGAUGAUAAAGUACACGGACGUUCCAGUGGGCAUUAUGCACUUGUUACCCAACAACCCCUUAGAGGAAGGUCCAAACAAGGGGGACAACGGGUAGGAGAAAUGGAGGUUUGGGCUCUAGAGGGCUUUGGUGUUGCUCAUAUUUUACAAGAGAUGCUUACUUAUAAAUCUGAUCAUAUUAGAGCGCGCCAAGAAGUACUUGGUACUACAAUCAUUGGAGAAACAAUACCUAACCCGGAAGAUGCUCCAGAAUCUUUUCGAUUGCUCGUUCGAGAACUACGAUCUUUGGCUUUGGAACUGAAUCAUUUUGUUGUAUCUGAGAAAAACUUCCAGAUUAAUAAGAAGGAAGCUUAAUCGGAAUGAAUCAAAAAUUUUCUUCUAUGAUUGAUCGAUAUAAACAUCAACAACUCCGAAUUGGAUCAGUUUCUCCUCAACAAAUACGCGCUUGGGCCAAUAAAAUCCUACCUAAUGGAGAGAUAAUUGGAGAAGUGACAAAACCCUAUACUUUUCAUUACAAAACCAAUAAACCGGAAAAAGAUGGAUUAUUUUGUGAAAGAAUUUUUGGGCCUAUUAAAAGUGGAAUUUGUGCUUGUGGAAAUUAUCGAAUAAUCGGAGAUGAAAAAGAAGACCCGCAAUUUUGUGAACAAUGUGGGGUUGAAUUUGUUGAUUCUCGGAUACGAAGAUAUCAAAUGGGAUACAUAAAACUGGGAUGCCCAGUAACCCACGUGUGGUAUUUGAAACGUCUUCCUAGUUAUAUCGCGAAUCUUUUAGAUAAACCUCUUAAAGAAUUAGAAGGCCUAGUAUAUUGCGAUGUGUGAUUUGAUCGAAAUUUUGAUUUUACAGAUUCGAAAUAUGAAACUGUCAUCCCAGGCAAUCGAAUUGGGAUGCCCUGAACCUGACAUGUCUCUUUGGAGGAGUCACAUGAAGCUCAGACCGAUGGGUGUAUUCAAUACUCCCCCAAAAACGAAAAGGGAAUUGGUCUAUGGUCGAUUCAGUAAAAAAUAAAUAAGAAUUUCUAGUUGUACCUCGUGAAAAAAAAAAAUGAAAUUCUGUUCCUCAAGUAAGCAAAUAUGUCAUGGUUGGGGGAGUCUAUACAUCGCAUAUAGGCUUUAAGUAUAUCGUGGCAUAACCGUCGAGGUGAAGCAGGACCUAAAAGAUCGAAAGGAACGAUACAUAGACAAAAAAAUCCCUUAUGAAUUCCAAGGCACUUCUUUCCUUUAAUUUAUUUAAUUUAAGGUAAGGGGAUUUGUCAUUCGGGGGAAGUAGACUACUCAAGAAUUUCACAUUUCAGUUUCGUAAUUUAUAAUUGAAUAAAGAAUUUCGAAAAUCUCAAUAAAAGGAAAAGAAGAAUGAAUCAAUGAAAUGUUGCUUGGUCUUUACUGGAACUUGAGUAAGGAGUAGUUGUUUUGGGUAUGGGGUUUUUUAUAGAAUUUGAAAGCGAGAAUCCCUUUCUUUAUCCUUAUUUGGCGUAACUACUUGAGCCGGAUGAGAAGAAACGCUCAUGUCCGAUUUUGAUGGGGGGAGAUCCCAUAGGAUAGGGUCCUAUCCCAAUUUUUCUUUUGCUAGGCCUAUAGCGAAAAAACCGACUUUUUUACGAUUACGCGGUUCAUUCGAAUAUGAAAUACAAUCCUGGAAAUACAGCAUCCACUUUUUUUACUACCCAAGGUUUCGAUAAAUUUCGUAACCGAGAAAUUUCUACUGGAGCAGUUGCUAUCCGGGAACAAUUAGCCGAUCUAGAUUUGCGAAUUAUUCUAGAUAAUUCCUUGUUAGAAUGGAAAGAAUUAGGGGAAGAAGGGCCCGCCGGUAAUGACUGGGAAGAUCGAAAAAUUGGACGAAGAAGGGAUUUUUUGGUUAGACGCAUGGAAUUAGCUAAGCAUUUUCUUCGAACAAAUAUAGAACCAGAGUGGAUGGUUUUAUGUCUAUUACCUGUUCUUCCUCCCGAGUUGAGGCCUAUCAUUCAAAUAGAUGGAGGUAAACUAAUGAGUUCAGAUAUUAAUGAACUCUAUAGAAGAGUUAUCUAUCGGAACAAUACUCUUAUCGACCUAUUAACAACAAGUAGAUCUACGCCAGGGAAUUGGUAAUGUGUCAGGAGAAAUUGGUACAAGAAGCCGUGGAUACGCUUCUUGAUAAUGGAAUCCGUGGACAGCCAAUGAGGGAUGGUCAUAAUAAGAUUUAUAAGUCGUUUUCAGAUGUAAUUGAAGGAAAAGAGGGAAGAUUUCGUGAGACUCUGCUUGGCAAACGGGUCGAUUAUUCGGGGCGGUCUGUCAUUGUUGUGGGCCCUCACUUUCAUUACAUCAAUGUGGAUUGCCUCGCGAAAUCGCAAUAGAGCUUUUCCAGACUUUUGUAAUUUGUGGGCUAAUUAGACAACACCUUGCUUCGAACAUAGGAGUUGCUAAGAGUAAAAUUCGGGAAAAAGGGCCGAUUAUCUGGGAAAUACUGCAGGAAGUUAUGCAGGGACAUCCAGUAUUGCUGAAUAGAGCGCCUACUCUGCAUAGAUUGGGCGUACAGGCAUUCCAGCCCAUUUUAGUGGAAGGCGCGCUAUUUGUUUACAUCCAUUAGUUUGUAAGGGAUUCAACGCAGACUUUGAUGGGAUCAAAUGGCUGUUCAUGUACCCUUAUCUUUAGAGGCUCAAGCAGAGGCUCGGUUACUUAUGUUUUCUCAUAUGAAUCUCUUGUCUCCUACUAUUGGAGAUCCCAUUUCCAUACCGACUCAAGAUAUGCUUAUUGGGCUCUAUGUAUUAACGAGCGGGAAUCGUCGAGGUAUUUGUGCAAAUAGGUAUAAUACAUGGAAUCGAAGAAAUUAUCCAGAUGAAAGAAUUGACGAUAAUAGCUAUACGUAUACGAAAGAACCCUUUUUUGUAAUUCCUAUGAUGCAAUUGGAGCUUAUCGGCAGAAAAGAAUCAAUUUAGAUAGUCCGUUGUGGCUUCGGUGGCGAUUAGAUCAACGCCUUAUUGCUUCAAGGGAAGCUCCCAUCGAAGUUCACUAUGAAUCUUUGGGUACCUCUCAUGAGAUUUAUGGGCAUUAUCUAAUAGUACGAAGUGUAAAAAAAGAAAUUCUUUCUAUAUACAUUCGAACCACCGUGGGCCAUAUUUCUCUUUAUCGAGAAAUCGAAGAAGCUAUACAAGGGUUUUGCCGGGCCUGCUCAUAUGGUACCUAAUCAUCUGGUGUCUAAACUAAGUAAUUCUACGACUCCUUGGGCCUUUCCGGUUCAAGUAUGACCACCAUUGCUGACCUUUCUACGCGAAUCAAGAUCGAGAAAAGGAAGUUUUCCACUCAUUGACUAAAAUCCAUUGGCGAAUCCUACUCAGCGGAAUACGGAGGUACUUAUGGCAGAACGGGUGAGUCUGGUCUUUCACAAUAAAAUGAUAGAUGGAACUGCCAUUAAACGACUUAUUAGCAGGUUAAUAGAUCACUUCGGAAUGGCAUAUACAUCCCACAUCCUGGAUCAAGUAAAGACCCUGGGGUUCCAGCAAGCCACUGCUACAUCUAUUUCAUUAGGCAUUGAUGAUCUUUUAACGAUACCUUCUAAGCGAUGGCUAGUCCAAGAUGCUGAACAACAAAGUUUUAUUUUGGAAAAACACUAUCAUUAUGGGAAUGUACACGCGAUAGAAAAACUACGACAAUCCAUUGAGAUAUGGUAUGCUACAAGUGAAUAUUUGCGACAAGAAAUGAAUCCUAAUUUUAGGAUGACUGAGCCUUUUAAUCCAGUCCAUAUAAUGUCUUUUUCGGGGGCUAGAGGAAAUGCAUCUCAAGUACACCAAUUGGUGGGUAUGAGAGGAUUAAUGUCUGAUCCCCAAGGGCAAAUGAUUGAUUUACCCAUUCAAAGUAAUUUACGCGAAGGGCUUUCUUUAACAGAAUAUAUCAUUUCUUGCUAUGGAGCCCGCAAGGGGGUUGUCGAUACCGCUGUCCGAACAUCAGAUGCUGGAUAUCUUACGCGCAGACUUGUUGAAGUAGUUCAACACAUUAUUGUACGUAGAACAGAUUGUGGCACUGUCCGAGGAAUUUCUGUGAGUCCUCAAAAUCAAAAUAGGAUGAUGUCGGAAAGGGUUUUUAGCCAAACAUUAAUUGGUCGUGUAUUAGCGGACGAUAUAUAUAUGGGCCAGCGAUCCAUUGCCAUUAGAAAUCAAGAUAUUGGGAUUGGACUUGUCAAUCGACUCAUAACCCUUCGAACACAAGCAAUAUCUAUUCGAACCCCCUUUACUUGUAGGAGUACAUCGUGGAUCUGUCGAUUAUGUUAUGGUCGGAGUCCGACUCAUGGUGACCUGGUUGAAUUGGGGGAAGCCGUAGGUAUUAUUGCGGGUCAAUCUAUUGGAGAACCAGGGACUCAACUAACAUUAAGAACUUUUCAUACCGGCGGCGUAUUUACGGGGGCACUGCAGAACAUGUACGAGCCCCUUCUAAUGGUAAAAUCAAAUUCAAUGAGGAUUUGGUUCAUCCCACGCGCACACGUCACGGGCAUCCGGCUUUUCUAUGUUCUAUAGAUUUGGAUGUAAUUAUUGAGGGUGAAGAUAUUAUGCACAAUGUGACUAUUCCACCAAAAAGUUUUCUUUUAGUUCAAAAUGAUCAAUAUGUCGAAUCAGAACAAGUGAUUGCUGAGAUUCGGGCGGGAGCAUACACUUUGAAUUUUAAAGAGAGGGUUCGAAAACAUAUUUAUUCUGAUUCAGAGGGAGAAAUGCACUGGAGUACUGAUGUGUACCAUGCACCCGAAUUUACAUAUAGUAAUGUCCACCUCUUGCCAAAAACAAGCCAUUUAUGGAUAUUGUCGGGGGUUCACGCAGAUCUAGUGUAGUUUCUUUUUCACUCCACAAGGAUCAAGAUCAAAUGAAUAUUCAUUCUCUUUCUGUCGAACGAAGAGAGAUUUCUAGCCUCUCGCUCUCAGUGAAUAAUGAUCAAACGGGACACAAAUUUUUUAGUUCUGAUUUUUCUGCUAAAAAAAAAGGUCGAAUUCUUGAGAUGUCUGAUUAUUCGGGAUUUAAUAGAAUCAUAAGUACUGGUCAUUGUAAUCUCAUCCAUCCUGCAAUUCUCCACGCAAAUUCGGAUUUAUUGGCAAAAAGGCAAAGAAAUGGAUUUCUUAUUCCAUUCCACUCGAUUCAAGAGCAAGAGAAAGAGCUAAUGCCCCAUUCAGGUAUCUCGAUUGAAAUACCCGUAAGGGGUAUUUUCCGUAGAAAUAGUAUUCUUGCUUAUUUCGACGAUCCUCGAUACAGAAGAAAGAGUUCCGGAAUUACUAAAUGGGGGACUCUGGGGGCGCAUUCAAUCGUUAAAAAAGAGGACUUGAUUGAGUAUCGAGGACUCAAAAAAUUAAGCCAAAAUACCAAAUGAAAAUAGAUCGCCUUUUUUUCAUUCCGGAGGAAGUGCAUAUUUUUCCCGAAUCUUCUUACCUAAUGGUACGGAAUAAUAGUAUCAUUGGAGUAGACACACAAAUCACUUUAAAUAUACGAAGCCGGGUGGGCGGAUUGGUCCGAAUGGAGAGAAAAAGGGGAGGGGUUGAACUAAAAAUAUUUUCGGGAGAUAUCCAUUUUCCCGGAGAGAUAGAUAAGAUAUCCCGACACAGUGGCAUCCUGAUACCGCCAGAAAGUGAAAAAACAAAACUUAAGGAAGCCACUAAGGAAUCAAAAAAAUUGAAAAAGUGGAUCUAUGUUCAACGGAUCACACCUACAAAGAAAAAGUCUUUUGUUUUGGUUCGACCCGUAGUCACAUAUGAAAUAGCGAACGGUAUAAAUUUAGCAACACUCUUUCCCCAGGAUCCGCUGCGGGAAAAGGAUAAUAUGCAAUUUCGAGUUGUCAAUUAUGUCCUUUAUGGGAAGGGCAAAGCCGCUGGGGGAAUUUCUGAUACAAGUCUUCAAUUAGUUCGGACGUGUUUAGUGUUGAAUUGGGACCAAGACAACAAAAGUUCUUCCGUCGAAGAGGUUUGUGCUUCCUUUGUUGAAGUACGUACAAAUGGUCUGAUUCGAAAUUUCCUAAGAAUCAACUUAGUGAAAUCCAAUAUUUCGUAUCUCAGAAAAAGGGAUCAUCCGUCGGGUUCAGGAUUAAUUUCUGAUAAUGGUUCAGCUCGCACCAAUAGCAAUCCGUUUUAUUCCGUGUUUGGCAAGGCAGGGGUUGAACAAUCGCUUAGACAAAAUCAAGGAACUAUUCGUACGUUGUUGAAUAAAAAUAAGGAAUGCCAAGUUUUGAUAAUUUUAUCAUCAUCUAAUUAUUUUCGAAUGGGUCCAUUGAACGAUGUAAAAUAUCACAAUGUGAUAAAACAAUCAAUUCCAAUUCAAAAAGAUUCGCUAACUCCAAUUAAGACUUCGUUGGGACCCUUAGGAACAUUCCUUCAAAUUGCGAAUUUUUAUUCAUUUUACUAUUUAAUAACUCAUAAUCAUAUCUCGGUAACUAAAUAUUUGAAACUUGACAAUUUAAAACAGCCUUUUCAAGUACUUAAAUAUUAUUUAAUGGACGAAACCGGGGAAAUUUAUAAUCCUGAUACAGAUAGUAAGAUCCUUUUGAAUCCAUUUAAUUUGAAUUGGUAUUUUCUCCAGCCUAAUUAUUGUGAGGAAAUGUCCCCGAUAAUUAGUCUUGGGCAGUUUCUUUGUGAAAAUGUACGUAUAACCAAAAGGGGACCAUACCUAAAAUCCGGUCAAGUUUUAAUUGUUCAAGUUAACUCUGUAGUAAUACGAUCAGCUAAGCCUUAUUUGGCUACUCCUGGAGCAACUGUUCAUGGGCAUUAUGGAGCAAUCCUUUACGAAGGGGAUACAUUAGUUACAUUUAUAUAUGAAAAAUCGAGAUCUGGUGAUAUAACGCAGGGUCUUCCAAAAGUAGAACAGGUGUUAGAAGUGCGUUCGCUUGAUUCAAUAUCGAUGAACCUAGAAAAGAGAGUUGAGGGUUGGAACGCGAGUAUAACAAGAAUUCUUGGGAUUCCCUGGGGAUUCUUGAUUGGUGCUGAGCUAACUAUAGUGCAAAGUCGUAUCUCUUUGGUUAAUAAGAUCCAAAAGGUUUAUCGAUCGCAGGGGGUGCAGAUCCAUAAUAGGCAUAUAGAAAUUAUUGUACGUCAAAUAACAUCAAAAGUUUUAGUUUCCGAAGAUGGAAUGUCUAAUAUUUUUUUACCCGGCGAACUGAUUGGAUUGUUACGAGCGGAACGAAUGGGGCGCGCUUUGGAAGAAGUGAUCUGUUAUCGAGCUAUCUUAUUGGGAAUAACGAGAGCGUCUCUGAAUACUCAAAGUUUUAUAUCCGAAGCAAGUUUUCAAGAAACCACGCGAGUUUUAGCAAAAGCUGCUCUCCGAGGUCGUAUCGAUUGGUUGAAAGGCCUGAAAGAAAACGUUGUUCUGGGGGGAUAAUACCAGUCGGUACCGGAUUCAAAGGAUUAGUCCACUGUUCAAGGCAGCAUAACAACAUUCUUUUGGAAAGACAAAAAGGGAAUUUAUUCGGGGGGAAAUGAGAGAUAUUUUCUUACACCACAGAGAAUUAUUUGACUCGUGCAUUUCAACGACUUUCCAUGAUACAUCAGAGCACAAUUGCUUAGAGGGUUUAAUGAGUCCUAGGAGCGAAUUCUUUUAACUAUUUGUGAUCAUUUGAUUUUUUAAUGGUACGAAAAGAAAGAUAAUAAUGAAUAGAACGAAGGAUAAUAAUGAAUAGAAAGUAAUGAAUGGCCUGGGUCGUGUAUCAAUGGUCACUCUCUGGUAGAAGAGAAGGUUCCCUCGGAACAAUUAUUUAUUUCAGGGCGCCUCGUCUCUUAAAAAAAAAAGAGGAAGUGGGGGAGAAAUGGCAAGAAGGUAUUGGAACAUCCAUUUGGAAGAGAUGAUGGAAGCAGGAAUUCAUUUUGGUCAUGGUACUCGGAAAUGGAAUCCUAGAAUGGCACCUUAUAUAUCUGCAAAACAUAAAGGUAUUCAUAUUACAAAUCUGACUCGAACUGCUCGGUUUUUAUCAGAAGCUUGUGAUUUAGUUUUUGAUGCAGCAAGUAGGGGAAAACAAUUCUUAAUUGUUGGUACUAAAAAUAAAGCAGCUGAUUUAGUCGCGCGAGCUGCAAUAAGGGCUCGGUGCCAUUAUGUUAAUCAAAAAUGGCUCGGCGGUAUGUUAACCAAUUGGUCCACUACAGAAACGCGACUUCACAAGUUCAGGGAUUUGAGAACGGAACAAAAAGGGGGAGACUCGACAGUCUUCCCAAAAGGGAUGCCGCUAUUUUGAAGAGACAAUUAUCGCGUCUGCAAACGUAUCUGGGCGGGAUUAAAUAUAUGACGAGGGUACCCGAUAUUGUAAUCGUCGUUGAUCAGCAAGAAGAAUAUACGGCUCUUCGAGAAUGUAUCACUUUGGGAAUUCCAACAAUUUGUUUAAUCGAUACAAAUUGUGACCGAUUCGCAGAUAUUUCGAUUUUAUAGCGAGGACAGGAAAUCCCCCUCGAACCGCAGCCUUGCGGCGAAUCGAAAUAUCUGCGAGAUCGGGGUCACAAUUUGUAUCGAAACAAAUUGUUGGAAUUCCAAAGUGAUAGAGCGUAUAUUCUUCUUGCUGAUCAACGACGAUUACAAUAUCGGGUACCCUCGUCAUAUAUUUAAUCCGCCCAGAUACGUUUGCAGACGCGAUAAUUGUCUCUUCAAAAUAGCGGCAUCCCUUUUGGGAAGACUGUCGAGUCUCCCCCUUUUUGUUCCGUUCUCAAAUCCCUGAACUUGUGAAGUCGCGUUUCUGUAGUGGACCAAUUGGUUAACAUACCGCCGAGCCAUUUUUGAUUAACAUAAUGGCACCGAGCCCUUAUUGCAGCUCGCGCGACUAAAUCAGCUGCUUUAUUUUUAGUACCAACAAUUAAGAAUUGUUUUCCCCUACUUGCUGCAUCAAAAACUAAAUCACAAGCUUCUGAUAAAAACCGAGCAGUUCGAGUCAGAUUUGUAAUAUGAAUACCUUUAUGUUUUGCAGAUAUAUAAGGUGCCAUUCUAGGAUUCCAUUUCCGAGUACCAUGACCAAAAUGAAUUCCUGCUUCCAUCAUCUCUUCCAAAUGGAUGUUCCAAUACCUUCUUGCCAUUUCUCCCCCACUUCCUCUUUUUUUUUUAAGAGACGAGGCGCCCUGAAAUAAAUAAUUGUUCCGAGGGAACCUUCUCUUCUACCAGAGAGUGACCAUUGAUACACGACCCAGGCCAUUCAUUACUUUCUAUUCAUUAUUAUCCUUCGUUCUAUUCAUUAUUAUCUUUCUUUUCGUACCAUUAAAAAAUCAAAUGAUCACAAAUAGUUAAAAGAAUUCGCUCCUAGGACUCAUUAAACCCUCUAAGCAAUUGUGCUCUGAUGUAUCAUGGAAAGUCGUUGAAAUGCACGAGUCAAAUAAUUCUCUGUGGUGUAAGAAAAUAUCUCUCAUUUCCCCCCCGAAUAAAUUCCCUUUUUGUCUUUCCAAAAGAAUGUUGUUAUGCUGCCUUGAACAGUGGACUAAUCCUUUGAAUCCGGUACCGACUGGUAUUAUCCCCCCCAGAACAACGUUUUCUUUCAGGCCUUUCAACCAAUCGAUACGACCUCGGAGAGCAGCUUUUGCUAAAACUCGCGUGGUUUCUUGAAAACUUGCUUCGGAUAUAAAACUUUGAGUAUUCAGAGACGCUCUCGUUAUUCCCAAUAAGAUAGCUCGAUAACAGAUCACUUCUUCCAAAGCGCGCCCCAUUCGUUCCGCUCGUAACAAUCCAAUCAGUUCGCCGGGUAAAAAAAUAUUAGACAUUCCAUCUUCGGAAACUAAAACUUUUGAUGUUAUUUGACGUACAAUAAUUUCUAUAUGCCUAUUAUGGAUCUGCACCCCCUGCGAUCGAUAAACCUUUUGGAUCUUAUUAACCAAAGAGAUACGACUUUGCACUAUAGUUAGCUCAGCACCAAUCAAGAAUCCCCAGGGAAUCCCAAGAAUUCUUGUUAUACUCGCGUUCCAACCCUCAACUCUCUUUUCUAGGUUCAUCGAUAUUGAAUCAAGCGAACGCACUUCUAACACCUGUUCUACUUUUGGAAGACCCUGCGUUAUAUCACCAGAUCUCGAUUUUUCAUAUAUAAAUGUAACUAAUGUAUCCCCUUCGUAAAGGAUUGCUCCAUAAUGCCCAUGAACAGUUGCUCCAGGAGUAGCCAAAUAAGGCUUAGCUGAUCGUAUUACUACAGAGUUAACUUGAACAAUUAAAACUUGACCGGAUUUUAGGUAUGGUCCCCUUUUGGUUAUACGUACAUUUUCACAAAGAAACUGCCCAAGACUAAUUAUCGGGGACAUUUCCUCACAAUAAUUAGGCUGGAGAAAAUACCAAUUCAAAUUAAAUGGAUUCAAAAGGAUCUUACUAUCUGUAUCAGGAUUAUAAAUUUCCCCGGUUUCGUCCAUUAAAUAAUAUUUAAGUACUUGAAAAGGCUGUUUUAAAUUGUCAAGUUUCAAAUAUUUAGUUACCGAGAUAUGAUUAUGAGUUAUUAAAUAGUAAAAUGAAUAAAAAUUCGCAAUUUGAAGGAAUGUUCCUAAGGGUCCCAACGAAGUCUUAAUUGGAGUUAGCGAAUCUUUUUGAAUUGGAAUUGAUUGUUUUAUCACAUUGUGAUAUUUUACAUCGUUCAAUGGACCCAUUCGAAAAUAAUUAGAUGAUGAUAAAAUUAUCAAAACUUGGCAUUCCUUAUUUUUAUUCAACAACGUACGAAUAGUUCCUUGAUUUUGUCUAAGCGAUUGUUCAACCCCUGCCUUGCCAAACACGGAAUAAAACGGAUUGCUAUUGGUGCGAGCUGAACCAUUAUCAGAAAUUAAUCCUGAACCCGACGGAUGAUCCCUUUUUCUGAGAUACGAAAUAUUGGAUUUCACUAAGUUGAUUCUUAGGAAAUUUCGAAUCAGACCAUUUGUACGUACUUCAACAAAGGAAGCACAAACCUCUUCGACGGAAGAACUUUUGUUGUCUUGGUCCCAAUUCAACACUAAACACGUCCGAACUAAUUGAAGACUUGUAUCAGAAAUUCCCCCAGCGGCUUUGCCCUUCCCAUAAAGGACAUAAUUGACAACUCGAAAUUGCAUAUUAUCCUUUUCCCGCAGCGGAUCCUGGGGAAAGAGUGUUGCUAAAUUUAUACCGUUCGCUAUUUCAUAUGUGACUACGGGUCGAACCAAAACAAAAGACUUUUUCUUUGUAGGUGUGAUCCGUUGAACAUAGAUCCACUUUUUCAAUUUUUUUGAUUCCUUAGUGGCUUCCUUAAGUUUUGUUUUUUCACUUUCUGGCGGUAUCAGGAUGCCACUGUGUCGGGAUAUCUUAUCUAUCUCUCCGGGAAAAUGGAUAUCUCCCGAAAAUAUUUUUAGUUCAACCCCUCCCCUUUUUCUCUCCAUUCGGACCAAUCCGCCCACCCGGCUUCGUAUAUUUAAAGUGAUUUGUGUGUCUACUCCAAUGAUACUAUUAUUCCGUACCAUUAGGUAAGAAGAUUCGGGAAAAAUAUGCACUUCCUCCGGAAUGAAAAAAAGGCGAUCUAUUUUCAUUUGGUAUUUUGGCUUAAUUUUUUUGAGUCCUCGAUACUCAAUCAAGUCCUCUUUUUUAACGAUUGAAUGCGCCCCCAGAGUCCCCCAUUUAGUAAUUCCGGAACUCUUUCUUCUGUAUCGAGGAUCGUCGAAAUAAGCAAGAAUACUAUUUCUACGGAAAAUACCCCUUACGGGUAUUUCAAUCGAGAUACCUGAAUGGGGCAUUAGCUCUUUCUCUUGCUCUUGAAUCGAGUGGAAUGGAAUAAGAAAUCCAUUUCUUUGCCUUUUUGCCAAUAAAUCCGAAUUUGCGUGGAGAAUUGCAGGAUGGAUGAGAUUACAAUGACCAGUACUUAUGAUUCUAUUAAAUCCCGAAUAAUCAGACAUCUCAAGAAUUCGACCUUUUUUUUUAGCAGAAAAAUCAGAACUAAAAAAUUUGUGUCCCGUUUGAUCAUUAUUCACUGAGAGCGAGAGGCUAGAAAUCUCUCUUCGUUCGACAGAAAGAGAAUGAAUAUUCAUUUGAUCUUGAUCCUUGUGGAGUGAAAAAGAAACUACACUAGAUCUGCGUGAACCCCCCGACAAUAUCCAUAAAUGGCUUGUUUUUGGCAAGAGGUGGACAUUACUAUAUGUAAAUUCGGGUGCAUGGUACACAUCAGUACUCCAGUGCAUUUCUCCCUCUGAAUCAGAAUAAAUAUGUUUUCGAACCCUCUCUUUAAAAUUCAAAGUGUAUGCUCCCGCCCGAAUCUCAGCAAUCACUUGUUCUGAUUCGACAUAUUGAUCAUUUUGAACUAAAAGAAAACUUUUUGGUGGAAUAGUCACAUUGUGCAUAAUAUCUUCACCCUCAAUAAUUACAUCCAAAUCUAUAGAACAUAGAAAAGCCGGAUGCCCGUGACGUGUGCGCGUGGGAUGAACCAAAUCCUCAUUGAAUUUGAUUUUACCAUUAGAAGGGGCUCGUACAUGUUCUGCAGUGCCCCCCGUAAAUACGCCGCCGGUAUGAAAAGUUCUUAAUGUUAGUUGAGUCCCUGGUUCUCCAAUAGAUUGACCCGCAAUAAUACCUACGGCUUCCCCCAAUUCAACCAGGUCACCAUGAGUCGGACUCCGACCAUAACAUAAUCGACAGAUCCACGAUGUACUCCUACAAGUAAAGGGGGUUCGAAUAGAUAUUGCUUGUGUUCGAAGGGUUAUGAGUCGAUUGACAAGUCCAAUCCCAAUAUCUUGAUUUCUAAUGGCAAUGGAUCGCUGGCCCAUAUAUAUAUCGUCCGCUAAUACACGACCAAUUAAUGUUUGGCUAAAAACCCUUUCCGACAUCAUCCUAUUUUGAUUUUGAGGACUCACAGAAAUUCCUCGGACAGUGCCACAAUCUGUUCUACGUACAAUAAUGUGUUGAACUACUUCAACAAGUCUGCGCGUAAGAUAUCCAGCAUCUGAUGUUCGGACAGCGGUAUCGACAACCCCCUUGCGGGCUCCAUAGCAAGAAAUGAUAUAUUCUGUUAAAGAAAGCCCUUCGCGUAAAUUACUUUGAAUGGGUAAAUCAAUCAUUUGCCCUUGGGGAUCAGACAUUAAUCCUCUCAUACCCACCAAUUGGUGUACUUGAGAUGCAUUUCCUCUAGCCCCCGAAAAAGACAUUAUAUGGACUGGAUUAAAAGGCUCAGUCAUCCUAAAAUUAGGAUUCAUUUCUUGUCGCAAAUAUUCACUUGUAGCAUACCAUAUCUCAAUGGAUUGUCGUAGUUUUUCUAUCGCGUGUACAUUCCCAUAAUGAUAGUGUUUUUCCAAAAUAAAACUUUGUUGUUCAGCAUCUUGGACUAGCCAUCGCUUAGAAGGUAUCGUUAAAAGAUCAUCAAUGCCUAAUGAAAUAGAUGUAGCAGUGGCUUGCUGGAACCCCAGGGUCUUUACUUGAUCCAGGAUGUGGGAUGUAUAUGCCAUUCCGAAGUGAUCUAUUAACCUGCUAAUAAGUCGUUUAAUGGCAGUUCCAUCUAUCAUUUUAUUGUGAAAGACCAGACUCACCCGUUCUGCCAUAAGUACCUCCGUAUUCCGCUGAGUAGGAUUCGCCAAUGGAUUUUAGUCAAUGAGUGGAAAACUUCCUUUUCUCGAUCUUGAUUCGCGUAGAAAGGUCAGCAAUGGUGGUCAUACUUGAACCGGAAAGGCCCAAGGAGUCGUAGAAUUACUUAGUUUAGACACCAGAUGAUUAGGUACCAUAUGAGCAGGCCCGGCAAAACCCUUGUAUAGCUUCUUCGAUUUCUCGAUAAAGAGAAAUAUGGCCCACGGUGGUUCGAAUGUAUAUAGAAAGAAUUUCUUUUUUUACACUUCGUACUAUUAGAUAAUGCCCAUAAAUCUCAUGAGAGGUACCCAAAGAUUCAUAGUGAACUUCGAUGGGAGCUUCCCUUGAAGCAAUAAGGCGUUGAUCUAAUCGCCACCGAAGCCACAACGGACUAUCUAAAUUGAUUCUUUUCUGCCGAUAAGCUCCAAUUGCAUCAUAGGAAUUACAAAAAAGGGGUUCUUUCGUAUACGUAUAGCUAUUAUCGUCAAUUCUUUCAUCUGGAUAAUUUCUUCGAUUCCAUGUAUUAUACCUAUUUGCACAAAUACCUCGACGAUUCCCGCUCGUUAAUACAUAGAGCCCAAUAAGCAUAUCUUGAGUCGGUAUGGAAAUGGGAUCUCCAAUAGUAGGAGACAAGAGAUUCAUAUGAGAAAACAUAAGUAACCGAGCCUCUGCUUGAGCCUCUAAAGAUAAGGGUACAUGAACAGCCAUUUGAUCCCCAUCAAAGUCUGCGUUGAAUCCCUUACAAACUAAUGGAUGUAAACAAAUAGCGCGCCCUUCCACUAAAAUGGGCUGGAAUGCCUGUACGCCCAAUCUAUGCAGAGUAGGCGCUCUAUUCAGCAAUACUGGAUGUCCCUGCAUAACUUCCUGCAGUAUUUCCCAGAUAAUCGGCCCUUUUUCCCGAAUUUUACUCUUAGCAACUCCUAUGUUCGAAGCAAGGUGUUGUCUAAUUAGCCCACAAAUUACAAAAGUCUGGAAAAGCUCUAUUGCGAUUUCGCGAGGCAAUCCACAUUGAUGUAAUGAAAGUGAGGGGCCCACAACAAUGACAGACCGCCCCGAAUAAUCGACCCGUUUGCCAAGCAGAGUCUCACGAAAUCUUCCCUCUUUUCCUUCAAUUACAUCUGAAAACGACUUAUAAAUCUUAUUAUGACCAUCCCUCAUUGGCUGUCCACGGAUUCCAUUAUCAAGAAGCGUAUCCACGGCUUCUUGUACCAAUUUCUCCUGACACAUUACCAAUUCCCCUGGCGUAGAUCUACUUGUUGUUAAUAGGUCGAUAAGAGUAUUGUUCCGAUAGAUAACUCUUCUAUAGAGUUCAUUAAUAUCUGAACUCAUUAGUUUACCUCCAUCUAUUUGAAUGAUAGGCCUCAACUCGGGAGGAAGAACAGGUAAUAGACAUAAAACCAUCCACUCUGGUUCUAUAUUUGUUCGAAGAAAAUGCUUAGCUAAUUCCAUGCGUCUAACCAAAAAAUCCCUUCUUCGUCCAAUUUUUCGAUCUUCCCAGUCAUUACCGGCGGGCCCUUCUUCCCCUAAUUCUUUCCAUUCUAACAAGGAAUUAUCUAGAAUAAUUCGCAAAUCUAGAUCGGCUAAUUGUUCCCGGAUAGCAACUGCUCCAGUAGAAAUUUCUCGGUUACGAAAUUUAUCGAAACCUUGGGUAGUAAAAAAAAGUGGGAUGCUGUAUUUCCAGGAUUGUAUUUCAUAUUCGAAUGAACCGCGUAAUCGUAAAAAAGUCGGUUUUUUCGCUAUAGGCCUAGCAAAAGAAAAAUUGGGAUAGGACCCUAUCCUAUGGGAUCUCCCCCCCAUCAAAAUCGGACAUGAGCGUUUCUUCUCAUCCGGCUCAAGUAGUUACGCCAAAUAAGGAUAAAGAAAGGGAUUCUCGCUUUCAAAUUCUAUAAAAAACCCCAUACCCAAAACAACUACUCCUUACUCAAGUUCCCAGUAAAGACCAAGCAACAUUUCAUUGAUUCAUUCUUCUUUUCCUUUUAUUGAGAUUUUCGAAAUUCUUUAUUCAAUUAUAAAUUACGAAACUGAAAUGUGAAAUUCUUGAGUAGUCUACUUCCCCCCGAAUGACAAAUCCCCUUACCUUAAAUUAAAUAAAUUAAAGGAAAGAAGUGCCUUGGAAUUCAUAAGGGAUUUUUUUGUCUAUGUAUCGUUCCUUUCGAUCUUUUAGGUCCUGCUUCACCUCGACGGUUAUGCCACGAUAUACUUAAAGCCUAUAUGCGAUGUAUAGACUCCCCCAACCAUGACAUAUUUGCUUACUUGAGGAACAGAAUUUCAUUUUUUUUUUUCACGAGGUACAACUAGAAAUUCUUAUUUAUUUUUUACUGAAUCGACCAUAGACCAAUUCCCCUUUUUCGUUUUUGGGGGGAGUAUUGAAUACACCCAUCGGUCUGAGCUUCAUGUGACUCCUCCAAAGAGACAUGUCAGGUUCAGGGCAUCCCAAUUCGAUUGCCUGGGAUGACAGUUUCAUAUUUCGAAUCUGUAAAAUCAAAAUUUCGAUCAAAUCACACAUCGCAAUAUACUAGGCCUUCUAAUUCUUUAAGAGGUUUAUCUAAAAGAUUCGCGAUAUAACUAGGAAGACGUUUCAAAUACCACACGUGGGUUACUGGGCAUCCCAGUUUUAUGUAUCCCAUUUGAUAUCUUCGUAUCCGAGAAUCAACAAAUUCAACCCCACAUUGUUCACAAAAUUGCGGGUCUUCUUUUUCAUCUCCGAUUAUUCGAUAAUUUCCACAAGCACAAAUUCCACUUUUAAUAGGCCCAAAAAUUCUUUCACAAAAUAAUCCAUCUUUUUCCGGUUUAUUGGUUUUGUAAUGAAAAGUAUAGGGUUUUGUCACUUCUCCAAUUAUCUCUCCAUUAGGUAGGAUUUUAUUGGCCCAAGCGCGUAUUUGUUGAGGAGAAACUGAUCCAAUUCGGAGUUGUUGAUGUUUAUAUCGAUCAAUCAUAGAAGAAAAUUUUUGAUUCAUUCCGAUUAAGCUUCCUUCUUAUUAAUCUGGAAGUUUUUCUCAGAUACAACAAAAUGAUUCAGUUCCAAAGCCAAAGAUCGUAGUUCUCGAACGAGCAAUCGAAAAGAUUCUGGAGCAUCUUCCGGGUUAGGUAUUGUUUCUCCAAUGAUUGUAGUACCAAGUACUUCUUGGCGCGCUCUAAUAUGAUCAGAUUUAUAAGUAAGCAUCUCUUGUAAAAUAUGAGCAACACCAAAGCCCUCUAGAGCCCAAACCUCCAUUUCUCCUACCCGUUGUCCCCUUGUUUGGACCUUCCUCUAAGGGUUGUUGGGUAACAAGUGCAUAAUGCCCACUGGAACGUCCGUGUACUUUAUCAUCAACUUGAUGAAUUAAUUUCAAGAUAUAAGGCUUUCCUAUUAGAACAGGUUCUUCAAAAGGAUCUCCCGUUCGUCCAUCAAAUAUUCUGCUUUUUCCCGGGUAUUCCGGCUCAAAUACCCAUGGAUUCGCGGUUUGCUUACUGGCUUCAUAUAAUUCAGAAAACACGAGUUUUCUCGAAGCCUCUUGUUCAUAUCUCUCAUCAAAAGGUGCUAUUCGAUAAUGUCGAUUUAGCAGACCCCCCGCUAACCCGAGCGAGCAUUCAAAUAUCUGUCCUACAUUCAUUCGCGAGGGUACUCCUAGUGGGUUGAAAACCAUAUCAACAGGCCUUCCAUCUUGCAAAUAAGGCAUAUCCUGUCUAGGCAAAAUUUUUGAAACGAUACCCUUAUUUCCAUGUCUUCCAGCUACUUUAUCACCUACUUUGAUUUCACGUUUCUGUGAAAUAUAUACACAAAUCGUUUCUGGAUUAUAACUAGAACCCCCCUUUUUCUGGACCCAUCUCACAUCAAUAACGCGACCCCUACCACCUAUAGGUAGUUUUAGGCAAGUUUCCUUUGAAGUGGAUACCUGAAUGCCAAGUAUGGCCCGUAAUAAUCUAUCUUCCGGAGCAUACGAUGAUUCUUUCGCCGCCUGAGGCGUUAAUUUACCUACUAAAAUAUCGCCGGUCUCUACCCAAGAUCCCAGCAUCACAAUUCCAUUUUUGUCUAAAUUGCGGAGUAACCGGGCUUCUAGAUGUGGUAUUUCAUUAGUGAUCCUUUCGGGACCUUGACUUGUCACAUGAGUCUGAAUUUCGUAUUUCCGUAUGUGAAAAGAAGUAUAAAUAUCUCUAUAUAUCAGACGUUCGCUAAUAAGUACCGCAUCCUCAAAAUUGUAGCCUUCCCAUGGCAUAUAAGCUACUAAUAUGUUUUUCCCUAAAGCGAGUUCGCCGCCAACUGUAGCGGCACCAUCCGCUAAAACUUGGCCCUUUUUAAUGCAUUUACCCCGCCCAACCUGGGGUUUUUGAUGCAUACAAGUAUUUUUGUUUGAACGUUGAUACAUAAUUAAUGGGAUACUAUAUGUAUUACCGUUUCCCGAUAAAACAAUCUUGUCAAUAUCGGUAUAAAUGAUCUUUCCCUCGUGUUCGGCUAUAGCGGGAACCCCUGAAUCUAGAGCCACUUGAGGUUCCAACCCAGUUCCAACAAUGCACUUCUCGGACCGAACGAGCGGAACUGCUUGGCGUUGCAUAUUAGAACUCAUUAAAGCCCGAUUCGCAUCAUUAUGCUCGAUAAAAGGAAUGAGGGAAGCCCCAAUAGAAAAAUAUUGGAAGGGAAAAAUACUUCGAAGAUGAACCUGUUCCCACGCAAUAGUCAGGAACUCUUGACGGUAUCGAGUCGGAACAACCUGUUCUUCCGGACUACCCUGAUUCAGUGCCAAAGAAUUUCCUGCCGCUACCAUAUAGUAUUCAUCUCUACUUGGUGAUAAAUAAAGCAUCCGUACUUUUUUUGAUUUUUCAAAGAUUUCAUAAAACGGGCUUUCUAGAGACCCCCAAUAACCAAUUCUCGCAUGAAUUGCUAAGGAUCCAAUAAGUCCAACAUUGAUUCCUUCGGACGUGUCAAUUGGACAAAUGCGGCCAUAGUGACUAGGAUGGAUAUCUCGUACCCGAAAACUCGCAGUUCGCCCUGUCAAUCCUCCGGGGCCCAAAUAACUCAAUUUUCUCCCAUGAACUAUUUGUGUCAAUGGGUUAGUUCGAUCCAAAACUUGAGAUAAUGGAUGUAAUCCGAAAAAAGAAUCAUAAGUGGUUGUUAAGGGAGUUGAAGUUACCAAAUUUUGAGGAGUUGGCAUCAAUUUAUGCCUAAUUGCUCCACAUAUAGUUCCUCUAAUCACAUUUUCUAACCGAACCAGGGCCAAUCCGAAUUGAUCUUGUAAAAGAUUCGCGACAGACCGAAUACGUUUAUUUUUCAAAUGAUUCAUAUCGUCAAGUGUACCCAUUCCAAAUUUCAGUCCAAUCAAAUGAUCGACAGCUGCCAAUACAUCUCGUGGUAACAAAAAUGUAUUGUUCUGAGGUAUAUUCAGAUUCAGUCUCUGGUUCAUAUUUCGUCUACCAAUCUUUCCUAAUUCACAUCUUUGGUGAAAAAAUUUCUUUUGUAAUUCCUUACAUAAGGAUUCCGAAAAUACCGGAUCUCCGCCUACACAAGCAAAUUGUUGAUAAAACUCCAAAAUGGCAUUUUCUUUUGAUCCAAUUUUUUUUUUCUCCUUAUUCGUCAGGAAAGACAAGAAAAUUUCAGGGUAGCAAAUAUUCUCUAGAAUUUCUCGUAGAUUCGAACCCAUAGCUGCUGAUAGAACUAGAAUAGAUACUUUCUGUUUCCUACUCACACGAGCCCAUAUCCUUGCUUUUCUAUCAAUCUCUAAUUCGAAUCUUCCCCCCCAAUCAGAUAUUAUGGUGCCUGUAUAGACCGAAAUUCCGUUAUGGCCCAAUUCUGACCGAUAAUAGAUACCGGGACUUUGCAAUAUUUGAUUGAUGACAAUUCUGUAUAUUCCGUUUACUAUAGAAGUUCCCAAAGAAUUCAUUAGAGGAAUGUUUCCAAUAAAAAUAGUUUGUUCCUGCAUGUCCCCUCGGCUUUUCCAAAUUAAUCCUGCGGAUACAUAUAAUUCAGAAGAAUACGUGAAUGAUUCAUAUACAGCAUCUCUUUCUUUUAGCAAGGGUUCUACCAAUUGAUAUGUUUCCACAAAUAAUUGAAAUUCAAUUUCUUGAUCUGUAUCUUCAAUUUUUGGAAACUUAUAAAGCUCUUCUGUUAAGCCCUGAUCAAUGAACCUACAAAAUCCUUCAAAUUGUAUCUGAUUCAACCCAGGUAUUGUAGACAUUCCUGCAUUUCCAUCUCCGAGCAUUUUGAAUUUCCCAUUUAUCAAAAAAUCCCAUUCGUUUCUCAUUCUGCAUCGAUUCAUAUGAUUCGAUGCAGAAUGCUGGAAUUUAGAUUCUGUUUACUGAAUCGCAUGAAAUUUUACCCAACUCCAUAUAGAUGGAAUGUAUGAAAUACGUAUGAACGGGGGAAAAAGGAUGAUUUUAUACUUAAUAAAAUUGGAAUUUCUAAGAGACAGAUCCAAAUGGAAAGGAAGCGAUAAAUUCCACUUAGACUUACGGAGUUUUGUAUAGAAUCAAAAAAAUAAUUCAAUUUAUACCAUUAUUAUGAUAUUCCAAUCCGUUAGGAUACCAGAAAAAUAAACGUCGUGAUUUGAUCUAUUCGCUAAGAUAAAGACAUAAGAAUCAGACACAAUAUACCAGCGUAAAGCUCAUUUUUUUAGCACUUACCUUUUUCGUGGAUUCCACUGUUCAAAAAAUGAUUUGCGAAGAACCCCUUUUUAUUUUUUUAGUCGAAUUUUUAGAAUAGGAUUGAAGUGCGUAAGACGGCUUGUAUUUAGUAAACCCGUGCCGAUAUAGCUAUCUAUAUAUACAUCGCCCCCUUUAUUGCAUAGUUCGCUUCGGGACAGCGCAUGUCGUGCUCUAUCAAAAUUUCGAUUUUCUCUUCAAUCUAAAUUGCAGUACGACAAUUUUCGGCAAAUUCCCUAUAGAGAGGCAUCAGACACAGAUAAGAUAACCAAUAAGCUAGCCGCGAAACGAUUUAUGUUUGGGGUUUACAUAUACUCAUAAUUGCUGUUAUAAUUGAAAUGGAGAAGGCUUUUUUUAUAGAAAAAACCAAUAUUGAUUAGGUAGGUAUCAAUUUUGAUUUUCUUCUAUCAUUAGGAAACACAAUUUACAAUUAAAAUUUAAAUCCAAGAGUUGGUCACGAAUUUACAGUCACUAGUUAAUGGUUCCAAUUUGUCCUUAAUUUUGGCUUUUGUGACUGAAAAUGCACAUUUCUUUUUUCAUUUUUCAAUAGAAAAAAAGAAAGAGAAAAGAGAGGGAUUAAGAUGUUGUGUGAGAUACUAUAAAAUCAAUUGAAGAACCGGAGCCGAUCCAAAAAAAGGACAUAUUUUUUUUAGGCAAGGAAUUAAGAAAAACGAGAUUUUAUAUGGACGUACACAAAAAAAAGAAAAGACAUUGAGUACCCCCCCCCAAACAAAACAAGCAAAGGGGGAAUUUUUUCAUCUAUUUUGUAUCGUUUUGGCGGCAUGGCCGAGCGGUAAGGCGGGGGACUGCAAAUCCUUUUUCCCCAGUUCAAAUCUGGGUGUCGCCUGAUCAACAAACGAUAAGACUCGCAAUCCCUUAUUCUGCUUGGCUGGUCUAACUCGCCGAAUCUUUUCCAGCAAAGUACGCGACUCUUGACAUUUUCGUGAUUCGAAAUAGCUGGGGUUUCUGUUCUUUUUUUUUUCUGUUCCUUAAACUUAAAGUGCUGUUAAUCCUUGCAUUUAGGAUUCACGGAAAGAUUAUAGUAGUAGAAGCGCUUUCAUAUCAAAUCAAGAGUUACCGAUUUAUUUCCACUGCUAAUUGCUAAUGCAGGGUCUACUGACCGGGUCUUGAAUUAGAUUGAAAAGCCCGAGGGAGAAUCGAAUUAAUCGUUAUGGAAGGGGCGGGAGAUACUUUGUAUGCAGUAUACAGACUCAUAAGAGUCUCUGAAUGCACGGGCAUUCAAUCAAUAUUCGAUUGGACGGAUAAUUGGCUUUUACUUAAUGAUAAUAAAGGGCAACAAAAAAAACGAGGAGUUCUUAUUAUUACUACAGAUUAGGUAACACUCCCUUUGAUACUUCCAAAGAAAAGUGCGACUGUGUAUUUUGUUUCAUUUUUCCGGAUUCUACUAGAAAUCAUAUACGAACUUGUUCUAAGUGGAUUUAUUGGAGCGUUUCAUAUUUAGUGGAGUCUUUCAUCAAGGGCGUUGGGCCAGAAUCCCUUUUUGACUCUGCGCCAGUGAUUCCACUAUUAUUAGGAAACAAUAAUAGAAUAAAUUCUUCAUAUUCAUAGAGAUAGGGGACAUAAUUCACAUGGAUAUAGUAAGUCUCGCUUGGGCUGCUUUAAUGGUAGUCUUUACAUUUUCCCUUUCGCUCGUAGUAUGGGGAAGAAGUGGACUCUAGAGAUACUACUAAUUGAGUUGGGGAAUCAAACUGUAUCACUUUUUUUAUAGAUCGUUCUGCAAAGCCUUUUUAAUUAUAUUAAUUAUUUAAGAAUUAAUAUAAUAAUUAAAUUCAGUAAUUAAAUUCCAUUUAGAAUUUCGAAAUUGAAUUAAUCAAAAUACCUUCAUUUCGGAAUUCUAUUGGCUUGGAUUCUGGCGAGGUAAUUGUAUUCGAUUCUAUUAUGAAUAGAAUACAAUUCAUAAUAUAUAUGAAUAAUGCUCUUUCCGAAUCCAAAUCAAACCGAUAUUUCCAAAAUUCCCCUAUUUCUAUUUUGAAAGGAAGGGGAUACAGAUCAUAGGAAUUUUAUUCCAACCGAAGUCUUCCUAGAUUUUCUAUUUGGUUUUUCUGAACCGGCCCUUGCCAGAGUUCUCUAUGGACAAUGGGGAAGAACGCGGAAAACCGGACCCCCCUUUUUUUUUAUUGGACUGUUCAAAGAGAAAAGAAAGGGUUCACGAUUUAAUUUGAAUAGUUAAUAAUAAUAAGAUUGUGCUUUGGUCAAGUCACAUAUUUCGCACUUACCACCGAUUUUAUUAUUUUUUAUUAUUUGAGUAUUUUAGAAAUUUGCUUUCUGCUAUGCUUUAUUGACCCGUUUCAUAUCAUGGCUCCAGGGUUGACAAUCGCCGGGGUACCCCUUUUUGAAAUCGGAAGAAGUUAUAGAAUAGAACUCCUUGGAUCAUCUGUCAACCGCUCAAUCAACGACUUCUUCGGAAUGCUAAAAAAAACGAUUACUUUAUUUCUUUCCUAUUUCAUUUUCUUUUAUUAACUUGAUUUUCUUUUAGUAAUAUAUGCCCAAAUUUGUUUUUCUUUCAUCGAUUUGAUUCUUUUUUUAUUUUUAAUGGAUACCGAGAUUCAUAUUGAAAAUAAUCUGAAAUAAAUAAAUUUGAAAAUCGUAAGAGCAGCCUUUCGAUUAUUUCAGAUUGAUUGGAAUGAACAAAAAGAAAAUACAAAUAGACGAAGCAAAGAAAUAGAAUUGAGAUACUAUGUAUCUAUUAACAUGUAUAAGGAUCCAUAUCCAUAUUGUAGAUUGAUCUCUAUUCAGUUUCUAUCUUUAUACAUAAAAAAAAAUAAAAAUAGAUAGUAUGGUAGAAAGAUUCAUAUAUGAAUCUUUCUACCAUACUAUCGAAUCUCAUAGGCUACUGCUGAUUCUAGUCCGUUGGUUUCAUUUAAGACUAAGACAUGAAAUUGAAAUUUGUUUCUUAAAUCCUUGAUAAGAACUAAGAAGUCAAGUUUCGUUCAAAUUAAUCACUUUGACUGACCGUUUUUACGUAUAUUAUAAGCAAAAACGCAGUAGGAACUAGAACGAACAGUGUAGUAGCAAUAAAUGCGAGAAUAUUUACUUCCAUAGUCUCAUCGUUUGGUUUUUUUUUUACUUCGCAAUAACUCGGGAUUUAAUCCCAUAGAGAUGAUAACCCUUUCGCUUGUAAAUUCAAUGGGAUGAAUUACAUUUCGAUGAUAGCGAAUGGGAUCAAUAUCAUGAAUAACAAUAUUUGACUGUCAAGUCGAUUCAUCGUCGAGAAUUCAAUAGUAUAACAUAGGCAGCUCUUUUAUCCACACACCAAAUACAAACUUUGAUUCCUGAUUCAAUCAAAAGAAUUCCUUUACUUUAAUACUAAUACUUUUUUAAUACUAAUACUUUUUUUAUUUACCAGUCUUUUCCAGUCUGUCUUUUCUAUAAUCGACCGCCUUACUUGUACAACCCCUAACCGCUUUACACUUUCCUUGUUUACAAAGGGUUUAGAAAAAAACCAAACAAACAAUCGAAACGAAAUAGAAAAAGAAAAAGGGAAGGGGUUAAGUUCUAAACCCCUUUUCAUUUUCUUUUUUUCAAGAAAAUUAUAUCAUUAAAAAAAAAAAAACGAAAAAGAAGUGUGAUAAAGACGAGUCCCAGUAUAAAAGAAUCGAAUAUUUCAUAAAAUUGACUAUUUUAUUUAGAUUUAUUUAGAGUUUCUUCUUCUUUGGCAAUACGCUUAAAAAAGAUUAUUCAUUCCCUCUUCGGGAGGGGUUGGCGCCUUGCUUGAUCUUUAUUUUAUUAAGAAUAUCAUCCCCCCUCCCUUGGAUUAGUACUAGAACGUAUCCCUCAAAAGUUCGGCGUGAAAUUUGAAUGAGAUAAAUUCUUUCAAAUUCAAACUAGUAAUUUAAGUUAGCCAAACUAGAAACCAGAAAAGAAGAUACUUUGAAUCUUAAUCUUAAAAGUAUUCUAUCAAAGUAACGAUCUUAAAUUCAGUUGUGUAUACGCUCCCGGGAACGAUAUGGUACUCGAUUCCAUUCCAUACACAGAUGGGGGACAGUCAAAAAAACCAGACCCCCUACGGUAGCUCUUGGAAUCCUGAAUAUGAUGCUACCAAUAAUUGUAGCAAUUCGCACAUGUCUCUUUCUCAUCAAUCGGUACUAGUUGAUGAGAAAUCGAAAUGAAAAAGAAAAAAGAGCAAAGGAGAGCAGUAGGCAUGAAAUUCUACCAUUUUAUUUUGCCCCAGUUUAACAGAAACGGCGAGAUAUAUUGAUGUUUUUUUUUAUUGGAUUUGGAUCCGUCGGGACUGACGGGGCUCGAACCCGCAGCUUCCGCCUUGACAGGGCGGUGCUCUGACCAAUUGAACUACAAUCCCGGGGCGGUAAAAUGUACCGAAUACCUAUUUUUAUGAUUUCAUUCAAACAAUUUCAUUUAUAUUUAGAUAAAUAUCGACGUGUUGGAACCGAGACGUGAGUGAGAUAUUGAUAUACACACGGAUAUACACUUUAGUGAGAGCGGCACGGAUUCCUUUCGUUAUUGCCAAAUCAAUUGAUAAUUCGUUUUUCAAUGUCCCAAAAAAAAAAGAGUCUUUUUUUGCGUUACUUUAUUCUUUUCAUUAGACUUUAUGCUUUCGAUUUCAUGAUCCUGAUAUGAAUCUAGAUCAUUAUUAGCAAGAUCAGAAUUUAUGGGAACAAAUAAAUGGAGCAAACAAAAUAAAUAAAUAGCGGUAGGGAUCUAUCGGAGAAUUGGACUCUUUUGAUUCUUGAGUCUUUCGUAUCUGGCAUUUCUGGAAAACAAAGGGGGUUAUAUCAUUUCCUGUUGGAUCAGCGAAUUAUUGGGCCGAGCUGGAUUUGAACCAGCGUAGACAUAUUGCCAACGAAUUUACAGUCCGUCCCAUUAACCGCUCGGGCAUCGACCCAGGAAGAAUAAAGUCUAGGCUUAUUUAUAAUCCACGAUCAACUUCCUUUCGUAGUACCCUACCCCAGGGGAAGUCGAAUCCCCGCUGCCUCCUUGAAAGAGAGAUGUCCUGAACCGCUAGACGAUGGGGGCAUAUUUGCCCGACUGCCAUCAUACUUAGUAUGAACAGUUUUUUGAAAUUGUCAAUAUAAUGGAAUGGGAUGACUAACUCUAAAGUAAAGGAUCUUUCCACCUUUUCUGAUCCCAUACCAAUAGCUUUUUUUGAUUCGUCCAUCAAUCGCUCAUUCUAAUCGCCAUUCUAGUCUAAAAUCGAAAUCUAUUAUAGAAAUUGCUAUAAAUAAUAAUAAAAAUAAAAAUAGGCCGAAAGACGAAAGUAGAGGACUCUUUUGGGAAGUGAUUGGUCCGACAUAAAAGAAGAUUUUUUCUUCAUUUCUUCCACUUAACUUUCAUUCAUUUAUCCACUCCUUGGUAAGAUGAGAUCGGACUAUUCCUAUAUCGCCCUAAGCUGGGAAAUUCACAAAUGAGAAAUCCGAAAAUCUGGGAACGGGGAUUAAGAUUAACAAGUUAUCAAUUUUUUUUUUUUUUUUUUUUUCUCUAAAAUUUGGGUUCGGGGAACAAACAGAAUCUCUUUAUCACAUGUGAAAUCCGGUGGAUCUAUGUCGAAUUGGUAGGUCCAUGUAUCCAUGUAUCAAUCAAAUAAGUUUCGUUCCGUUCUGAUGGGGUCAGAUCAAUUUAAGUCAAUUCCAUUAGGGUCGGUCUUGAAAUUAGGGUCGGUCUUGAAACACUUCAUUUCAUUGAUAUUUAUCAAAUCCAAUAUCAAUAAACCCGGGUUAACCGAUACUUAUACUUAUUACUUAUUAAGUAAAUUAAGUAAAUCAAAAUUAUCGUUCCCCUAGGUGACACUCGCCGCUAUGAGUCUACUGCAUAUACUUAUAAUUAUAAUAUAUAUAUAGAUAGAUAUAGAUCUAUCUUAUCCGCCUAGUGACUCCUUCAAUAAUUGAAUCCAAUUGCCCUUUUAACUCAGUGGUAGAGUAACGCCAUGGUAAGGCGUAAGUCAUCGGUUCAAAUCCGAUAAGGGGCUUUUUGGCCUUUUUCAUAAAUAUAAAUAAAGUAAAGUGGUAAUAUUCAUAUUGAAACGGGAAUAAAAAUUGUGUUGAUUUGUAAUAAAAAAAGUAACCAACUGGAUAAUAAUGUAAUUAUAAACUUUCGAAUUUAAUGAUAAUACGUUAUCCUUAUAAUGAGUUAGAAUAUAGUAAUUAAUGAGUUAGAAUAUAGUAAUUAGAAUAGUAAUUCUCCUUCUAAAGAAAGUUGCUAAAAGAAAGUUGAACGCUUGUUUAUUAUAAUGAUAUUGAAGUCUCUUUCAUUACAAUUAUUUAUCCAUUGUUACUUUUUUUAUUACAAAUCAACACAAUUUUUAUUCCCGUUUCAAUAUGAAUAUUACCACUUUACUUUAUUUAUAUUUAUGAAAAAGGCCAAAAAGCCCCUUAUCGGAUUUGAACCGAUGACUUACGCCUUACCAUGGCGUUACUCUACCACUGAGUUAAAAGGGCAAUUGGAUUCAAUUAUUGAAGGAGUCACUAGGCGGAUAAGAUAGAUCUAUAUCUAUCUAUAUAUAUAUUAUAAUUAUAAGUAUAUGCAGUAGACUCAUAGCGGCGAGUGUCACCUAGGGGAACGAUAAUUUUGAUUUACUUAAUUUACUUAAUAAGUAAUAAGUAUAAGUAUCGGUUAACCCGGGUUUAUUGAUAUUGGAUUUGAUAAAUAUCAAUGAAAUGAAGUGUUUCAAGACCGACCCUAAUUUCAAGACCGACCCUAAUGGAAUUGACUUAAAUUGAUCUGACCCAUCAGAACGGAACGAAACUUAUUUGAUUGAUACAUGGAUACAUGGACCUACCAAUUCGACAUAGAUCCACCGGAUUUCACAUGUGAUAAAGAGAUUCUGUUUGUUCCCCGAACCCAAAUUUUAGAGAAAAAAAAAAAAAAAAAAAAAAUUGAUAACUUGUUAAUCUUAAUCCCCGUUCCCAGAUUUUCGGAUUUCUCAUUUGUGAAUUUCCCAGCUUAGGGCGAUAUAGGAAUAGUCCGAUCUCAUCUUACCAAGGAGUGGAUAAAUGAAUGAAAGUUAAGUGGAAGAAAUGAAGAAAAAAUCUUCUUUUAUGUCGGACCAAUCACUUCCCAAAAGAGUCCUCUACUUUCGUCUUUCGGCCUAUUUUUAUUUUUAUUAUUAUUUAUAGCAAUUUCUAUAAUAGAUUUCGAUUUUAGACUAGAAUGGCGAUUAGAAUGAGCGAUUGAUGGACGAAUCAAAAAAAGCUAUUGGUAUGGGAUCAGAAAAGGUGGAAAGAUCCUUUACUUUAGAGUUAGUCAUCCCAUUCCAUUAUAUUGACAAUUUCAAAAAACUGUUCAUACUAAGUAUGAUGGCAGUCGGGCAAAUAUGCCCCCAUCGUCUAGCGGUUCAGGACAUCUCUCUUUCAAGGAGGCAGCGGGGAUUCGACUUCCCCUGGGGGUAGGGUACUACGAAAGGAAGUUGAUCGUGGAUUAUAAAUAAGCCUAGACUUUAUUCUUCCUGGGUCGAUGCCCGAGCGGUUAAUGGGGACGGACUGUAAAUUCGUUGGCAAUAUGUCUACGCUGGUUCAAAUCCAGCUCGGCCCAAUAAUUCGCUGAUCCAACAGGAAAUGAUAUAACCCCUUUGUUUUCCAGAAAUGCCAGAUACGAAAGACUCAAGAAUCAAAAGAGUCCAAUUCUCCGAUAGAUCCCUACCGCUAUUUAUUUAUUUUGUUUGCUCCAUUUAUUUGUUCCCAUAAAUUCUGAUCUUGCUAAUAAUGAUCUAGAUUCAUAUCAGGAUCAUGAAAUCGAAAGCAUAAAGUCUAAUGAAAAGAAUAAAGUAACGCAAAAAAAGACUCUUUUUUUUUUGGGACAUUGAAAAACGAAUUAUCAAUUGAUUUGGCAAUAACGAAAGGAAUCCGUGCCGCUCUCACUAAAGUGUAUAUCCGUGUGUAUAUCAAUAUCUCACUCACGUCUCGGUUCCAACACGUCGAUAUUUAUCUAAAUAUAAAUGAAAUUGUUUGAAUGAAAUCAUAAAAAUAGGUAUUCGGUACAUUUUACCGCCCCGGGAUUGUAGUUCAAUUGGUCAGAGCACCGCCCUGUCAAGGCGGAAGCUGCGGGUUCGAGCCCCGUCAGUCCCGACGGAUCCAAAUCCAAUAAAAAAAAACAUCAAUAUAUCUCGCCGUUUCUGUUAAACUGGGGCAAAAUAAAAUGGUAGAAUUUCAUGCCUACUGCUCUCCUUUGCUCUUUUUUCUUUUUCAUUUCGAUUUCUCAUCAACUAGUACCGAUUGAUGAGAAAGAGACAUGUGCGAAUUGCUACAAUUAUUGGUAGCAUCAUAUUCAGGAUUCCAAGAGCUACCGUAGGGGGUCUGGUUUUUUUGACUGUCCCCCAUCUGUGUAUGGAAUGGAAUCGAGUACCAUAUCGUUCCCGGGAGCGUAUACACAACUGAAUUUAAGAUCGUUACUUUGAUAGAAUACUUUUAAGAUUAAGAUUCAAAGUAUCUUCUUUUCUGGUUUCUAGUUUGGCUAACUUAAAUUACUAGUUUGAAUUUGAAAGAAUUUAUCUCAUUCAAAUUUCACGCCGAACUUUUGAGGGAUACGUUCUAGUACUAAUCCAAGGGAGGGGGGAUGAUAUUCUUAAUAAAAUAAAGAUCAAGCAAGGCGCCAACCCCUCCCGAAGAGGGAAUGAAUAAUCUUUUUUAAGCGUAUUGCCAAAGAAGAAGAAACUCUAAAUAAAUCUAAAUAAAAUAGUCAAUUUUAUGAAAUAUUCGAUUCUUUUAUACUGGGACUCGUCUUUAUCACACUUCUUUUUCGUUUUUUUUUUUUUUAAUGAUAUAAUUUUCUUGAAAAAAAGAAAAUGAAAAGGGGUUUAGAACUUAACCCCUUCCCUUUUUCUUUUUCUAUUUCGUUUCGAUUGUUUGUUUGGUUUUUUUCUAAACCCUUUGUAAACAAGGAAAGUGUAAAGCGGUUAGGGGUUGUACAAGUAAGGCGGUCGAUUAUAGAAAAGACAGACUGGAAAAGACUGGUAAAUAAAAAAAGUAUUAGUAUUAAAAAAGUAUUAGUAUUAAAGUAAAGGAAUUCUUUUGAUUGAAUCAGGAAUCAAAGUUUGUAUUUGGUGUGUGGAUAAAAGAGCUGCCUAUGUUAUACUAUUGAAUUCUCGACGAUGAAUCGACUUGACAGUCAAAUAUUGUUAUUCAUGAUAUUGAUCCCAUUCGCUAUCAUCGAAAUGUAAUUCAUCCCAUUGAAUUUACAAGCGAAAGGGUUAUCAUCUCUAUGGGAUUAAAUCCCGAGUUAUUGCGAAGUAAAAAAAAAAACCAAACGAUGAGACUAUGGAAGUAAAUAUUCUCGCAUUUAUUGCUACUACACUGUUCGUUCUAGUUCCUACUGCGUUUUUGCUUAUAAUAUACGUAAAAACGGUCAGUCAAAGUGAUUAAUUUGAACGAAACUUGACUUCUUAGUUCUUAUCAAGGAUUUAAGAAACAAAUUUCAAUUUCAUGUCUUAGUCUUAAAUGAAACCAACGGACUAGAAUCAGCAGUAGCCUAUGAGAUUCGAUAGUAUGGUAGAAAGAUUCAUAUAUGAAUCUUUCUACCAUACUAUCUAUUUUUAUUUUUUUUUAUGUAUAAAGAUAGAAACUGAAUAGAGAUCAAUCUACAAUAUGGAUAUGGAUCCUUAUACAUGUUAAUAGAUACAUAGUAUCUCAAUUCUAUUUCUUUGCUUCGUCUAUUUGUAUUUUCUUUUUGUUCAUUCCAAUCAAUCUGAAAUAAUCGAAAGGCUGCUCUUACGAUUUUCAAAAUUUAUUUAUUUCAGAUUAUUUUCAAUAUGAAUCUCGGUAUCCAUUAAAAAUAAAAAAAGAAUCAAAUCGAUGAAAGAAAAACAAAUUUGGGCAUAUAUUACUAAAAGAAAAUCAAGUUAAUAAAAGAAAAUGAAAUAGGAAAGAAAUAAAGUAAUCGUUUUUUUUAGCAUUCCGAAGAAGUCGUUGAUUGAGCGGUUGACAGAUGAUCCAAGGAGUUCUAUUCUAUAACUUCUUCCGAUUUCAAAAAGGGGUACCCCGGCGAUUGUCAACCCUGGAGCCAUGAUAUGAAACGGGUCAAUAAAGCAUAGCAGAAAGCAAAUUUCUAAAAUACUCAAAUAAUAAAAAAUAAUAAAAUCGGUGGUAAGUGCGAAAUAUGUGACUUGACCAAAGCACAAUCUUAUUAUUAUUAACUAUUCAAAUUAAAUCGUGAACCCUUUCUUUUCUCUUUGAACAGUCCAAUAAAAAAAAAGGGGGGUCCGGUUUUCCGCGUUCUUCCCCAUUGUCCAUAGAGAACUCUGGCAAGGGCCGGUUCAGAAAAACCAAAUAGAAAAUCUAGGAAGACUUCGGUUGGAAUAAAAUUCCUAUGAUCUGUAUCCCCCUUCCUUUCAAAAUAGAAAUAGGGGAAUUUUGGAAAUAUCGGUUUGAUUUGGAUUCGGAAAGAGCAUUAUUCAUAUAUAUUAUGAAUUGUAUUCUAUUCAUAAUAGAAUCGAAUACAAUUACCUCGCCAGAAUCCAAGCCAAUAGAAUUCCGAAAUGAAGGUAUUUUGAUUAAUUCAAUUUCGAAAUUCUAAAUGGAAUUUAAUUACUGAAUUUAAUUAUUAUAUUAAUUCUUAAAUAAUUAAUAUAAUUAAAAAGGCUUUGCAGAACGAUCUAUAAAAAAAGUGAUACAGUUUGAUUCCCCAACUCAAUUAGUAGUAUCUCUAGAGUCCACUUCUUCCCCAUACUACGAGCGAAAGGGAAAAUGUAAAGACUACCAUUAAAGCAGCCCAAGCGAGACUUACUAUAUCCAUGUGAAUUAUGUCCCCUAUCUCUAUGAAUAUGAAGAAUUUAUUCUAUUAUUGUUUCCUAAUAAUAGUGGAAUCACUGGCGCAGAGUCAAAAAGGGAUUCUGGCCCAACGCCCUUGAUGAAAGACUCCACUAAAUAUGAAACGCUCCAAUAAAUCCACUUAGAACAAGUUCGUAUAUGAUUUCUAGUAGAAUCCGGAAAAAAUGAAACAAAAUACACAGUCGCACUUUUCUUUGGAAGUAUCAAAGGGAGUGUUACCUAAUCUGUAGUAAUAAUAAGAACUCCUCGUUUUUUUUGUUGCCCUUUAUUAUCAUUAAGUAAAAGCCAAUUAUCCGUCCAAUCGAAUAUUGAUUGAAUGCCCGUGCAUUCAGAGACUCUUAUGAGUCUGUAUACUGCAUACAAAGUAUCUCCCGCCCCUUCCAUAACGAUUAAUUCGAUUCUCCCUCGGGCUUUUCAAUCUAAUUCAAGACCCGGUCAGUAGACCCUGCAUUAGCAAUUAGCAGUGGAAAUAAAUCGGUAACUCUUGAUUUGAUAUGAAAGCGCUUCUACUACUAUAAUCUUUCCGUGAAUCCUAAAUGCAAGGAUUAACAGCACUUUAAGUUUAAGGAACAGAAAAAAAAAAAGAACAGAAACCCCAGCUAUUUCGAAUCACGAAAAUGUCAAGAGUCGCGUACUUUGCUGGAAAAGAUUCGGCGAGUUAGACCAGCCAAGCAGAAUAAGGGAUUGCGAGUCUUAUCGUUUGUUGAUCAGGCGACACCCAGAUUUGAACUGGGGAAAAAGGAUUUGCAGUCCCCCGCCUUACCGCUCGGCCAUGCCGCCAAAACGAUACAAAAUAGAUGAAAAAAUUCCCCCUUUGCUUGUUUUGUUUGGGGGGGGGGUACUCAAUGUCUUUUCUUUUUUUUGUGUACGUCCAUAUAAAAUCUCGUUUUUCUUAAUUCCUUGCCUAAAAAAAAUAUGUCCUUUUUUUGGAUCGGCUCCGGUUCUUCAAUUGAUUUUAUAGUAUCUCACACAACAUCUUAAUCCCUCUCUUUUCUCUUUCUUUUUUUCUAUUGAAAAAUGAAAAAAGAAAUGUGCAUUUUCAGUCACAAAAGCCAAAAUUAAGGACAAAUUGGAACCAUUAACUAGUGACUGUAAAUUCGUGACCAACUCUUGGAUUUAAAUUUUAAUUGUAAAUUGUGUUUCCUAAUGAUAGAAGAAAAUCAAAAUUGAUACCUACCUAAUCAAUAUUGGUUUUUUCUAUAAAAAAAGCCUUCUCCAUUUCAAUUAUAACAGCAAUUAUGAGUAUAUGUAAACCCCAAACAUAAAUCGUUUCGCGGCUAGCUUAUUGGUUAUCUUAUCUGUGUCUGAUGCCUCUCUAUAGGGAAUUUGCCGAAAAUUGUCGUACUGCAAUUUAGAUUGAAGAGAAAAUCGAAAUUUUGAUAGAGCACGACAUGCGCUGUCCCGAAGCGAACUAUGCAAUAAAGGGGGGCGAUGUAUAUAUAGAUAGCUAUAUCGGCACGGGUUACUAAAUACAAGCCGUCUUACGCACUUCAAUCCUAUUCUAAAAAUUCGACUAAAAAAAUAAAAAGGGGGUUCUUCGCAAAUCAUUUUUUGAACAGUGGAAUCCACGAAAAAGGUAAGUGCUAAAAAAAUGAGCUUUACGCUGGUAUAUUGUGUCUGAUUCUUAUGUCUUUAUCUUAGCGAAUAGAUCAAAUCACGACGUUUAUUUUUCUGGUAUCCUAACGGAUUGGAAUAUCAUAAUAAUGGUAUAAAUUGAAUUAUUUUUUUGAUUCUAUACAAAACUCCGUAAGUCUAAGUGGAAUUUAUCGCUUCCUUUCCAUUUGGAUCUGUCUCUUAGAAAUUCCAAUUUUAUUAAGUAUAAAAUCAUCCUUUUUCCCCCGUUCAUACGUAUUUCAUACAUUCCAUCUAUAUGGAGUUGGGUAAAAUUUCAUGCGAUUCAGUAAACAGAAUCUAAAUUCCAGCAUUCUGCAUCGAAUCAUAUGAAUCGAUGCAGAAUGAGAAACGAAUGGGAUUUUUUGAUAAAUGGGAAAUUCAAAAUGCUCGGAGAUGGAAAUGCAGGAAUGUCUACAAUACCUGGGUUGAAUCAGAUACAAUUUGAAGGAUUUUGUAGGUUCAUUGAUCAGGGCUUAACAGAAGAGCUUUAUAAGUUUCCAAAAAUUGAAGAUACAGAUCAAGAAAUUGAAUUUCAAUUAUUUGUGGAAACAUAUCAAUUGGUAGAACCCUUGCUAAAAGAAAGAGAUGCUGUAUAUGAAUCAUUCACGUAUUCUUCUGAAUUAUAUGUAUCCGCAGGAUUAAUUUGGAAAAGCCGAGGGGACAUGCAGGAACAAAACUAUUUUUAUUGGAAACAUUCCUCUAAUGAAUUCUUUGGGAACUUCUAUAGUAAACGGAAUAUACAGAAUUGUCAUCAAUCAAAUAUUGCAAAGUCCCGGUAUCUAUUAUCGGUCAGAAUUGGGCCAUAACGGAAUUUCGGUCUAUACAGGCACCAUAAUAUCUGAUUGGGGGGAAGAUUCGAAUUAGAGAUUGAUAGAAAAGCAAGGAUAUGGGCUCGUGUGAGUAGGAAACAGAAAGUAUCUAUUCUAGUUCUAUCAGCAGCUAUGGGUUCGAAUCUACGAGAAAUUCUAGAGAAUAUUUGCUACCCUGAAAUUUUCUUGUCUUUCCUGACGAAUAAGGAGAAAAAAAAAAUUGGAUCAAAAAGAAAAUGCCAUUUUGGAGUUUUAUCAACAAUUUGCUUGUGUAGGCGGAGAUCCGGUAUUUUCGGAAUCCUUAUGUAAGGAAUUACAAAAGAAAUUUUUUCACCAAAGAUGUGAAUUAGGAAAGAUUGGUAGACGAAAUAUGAACCAGAGACUGAAUCUGAAUAUACCUCAGAACAAUACAUUUUUGUUACCACGAGAUGUAUUGGCAGCUGUCGAUCAUUUGAUUGGACUGAAAUUUGGAAUGGGUACACUUGACGAUAUGAAUCAUUUGAAAAAUAAACGUAUUCGGUCUGUCGCGAAUCUUUUACAAGAUCAAUUCGGAUUGGCCCUGGUUCGGUUAGAAAAUGUGAUUAGAGGAAACUAUAUGUGGAGCAAUUAGGCAUAAAUUGAUGCCAACUCCUCAAAAUUUGGUAACUUCAACUCCCUUAACAACCACUUAUGAUUCUUUUUUCGGAUUACAUCCAUUAUCUCAAGUUUUGGAUCGAACUAACCCAUUGACACAAAUAGUUCAUGGAGAAAAUUGAGUUAUUUGGGCCCGGAGGAUUGACAGGGCGAACUGCGAGUUUUCGGGUACGAGAUAUCCAUCCUAGUCACUAUGGCCGCAUUGUCCAAUUGACACGUCCGAAGGAAUCAAUGUUGGACUUAUUGGAUCCUUAGCAAUUCAUGCGAGAAUUGGUUAUUGGGGUCUCUAGAAAGCCCGUUUUAUGAAAUCUUUGAAAAAUCAAAAAAAGUACGGAUGCUUUAUUUAUCACCAAGUAGAGAUGAAUACUAUAUGGUAGCGGCAGGAAAUUCUUUGGCACUGAAUCAGGUAGUCCGGAAGAACAGUUGUUCCGACUCGAUACCGUCAAGAGUUCCUGACUAUUGCGUGGGAAACAGGUUCAUCUUCGAAGUAUUUUUCCCUUCCAAUAUUUUUCUAUUGGGGCUCCCUCAUUCCUUUUAUCGAGCAUAAUGAUGCGAAUCGGCUUUAAUGAGUUCUAAUAUGCAACGCCAAGCAGUUCCGCUCGUUCGGUCCGAGAAGUGCAUUGUUGGAACUGGGUUGGAACCUCAAGUGGCUCUAGAUUCAGGGGUUCCCGCUAUAGCCGAACACGAGGGAAAGAUCAUUAUACCGAUAUUGACAAGAUUGUUUAUCGGGAAACGGUAAUACAUAUAGUAUCCCAUUAAUUAUGUAUCAACGUUCAAACAAAAAUACUUGUAUGCAUCAAAAACCCCAGGUUGGGCGGGGUAAAUGCAUUAAAAAGGGCCAAGUUUUAGCGGAUGGUGCCGCUACAGUUGGCGGCGAACUCGCUUUAGGGAAAAACAUAUUAGUAGCUUAUAUGCCAUGGGAAGGCUACAAUUUUGAGGAUGCGGUACUUAUUAGCGAACGUCUGAUAUAUAGAGAUAUUUAUACUUCUUUUCACAUACGGAAAUACGAAAUUCAGACUCAUGUGACAAGUCAAGGUCCCGAAAGGAUCAACUAAUGAAAUACCACAUCUAGAAGCCCGGUUACUCCGCAAUUUAGACAAAAAUGGAAUUGUGAUGCUGGAUCUUGGGUAGAGACCGCGAUAUUUAGUAGGUAAAUUAACGCCUCAGGCGGCGAAAGAAUCAUCGUAUGCUCCGGAAGAUAGAUUAUUACGGGCCAUACUUGGCAUUCAGGUAUCCACUUCAAAGGAAACUUGCCUAAAACUACCUAUAGGUGGUAGGGUCGCGUUAUUGAUGUGAGAUGGGUCCAGAAAAAGGGGGGUUCUAGUUAUAAUCCAGAAACGAUUUGUGUAUAUAUUUCACAGAAACGUGAAAUCAAAGUAGGUGAUAAAGUAGCUGGAAGACAUGGAAAUAAGGGUAUCGUUUCAAAAAUUUUGCCUAGACAGGAUAUGCCUUAUUUGCAAGAUGGAAGGCCUGUUGAUAUGGUUUUCAACCCACUAGGAGUACCCUCGCGAAUGAAUGUAGGACAGAUAUUUGAAUGCUCGCUCGGGUUAGCGGGGGGUCUGCUAAAUCGACAUUAUCGAAUAGCACCUUUUGAUGAGAGAUAUGAACAAGAGGCUUCGAGAAAACUCGUGUUUUCUGAAUUAUAUGAAGCCAGUAAGCAAACCGCGAAUCCAUGGGUAUUUGAGCCGGAAUACCCGGGAAAAAGCAGAAUAUUUGAUGGACGAACGGGAGAUCCUUUUGAAGAACCUGUUCUAAUAGGAAAGCCUUAUAUCUUGAAUUAAUUCAUUCAAGUUGAUGAUAAAGUACACGGACGUUCCAGUGGGCAUUAUGCACUUGUUACCCAACAACCCCUUAGAGGAAGGUCCAAACAAGGGGGACAACGGGUAGGAGAAAUGGAGGUUUGGGCUCUAGAGGGCUUUGGUGUUGCUCAUAUUUUACAAGAGAUGCUUACUUAUAAAUCUGAUCAUAUUAGAGCGCGCCAAGAAGUACUUGGUACUACAAUCAUUGGAGAAACAAUACCUAACCCGGAAGAUGCUCCAGAAUCUUUUCGAUUGCUCGUUCGAGAACUACGAUCUUUGGCGCUUUGGAACUGAAUCAUUUUGUUGUAUCUGAGAAAAACUUCCAGAUUAAUAAGAAGAAGCUUAAUCGGAAUGAAUCAAAAAUUUCUUCUAUGAUUGAUCGAUAUAAACAUCAACAACUCCGAAUUGGAUCAGUUUCUCCUCAACAAAUACGCGCUUGGGCCAAUAAAAUCCUACCUAAUGGAGAGAUAAUUGGAGAAGUGACAAAACCCUAUACUUUUCAUUACAAAACCAAUAAACCGGAAAAAGAUGGAUUAUUUUGUGAAAGAAUUUUUGGGCCUAUUAAAAGUGGAAUUUGUGCUUGUGGAAAUUAUCGAAUAAUCGAGAUGAAAAGAAGACCCGCAAUUUUGUGAACAAUGUGGGGUUGAAUUUGUUGAUUCUCGAUACGAAGAUAUCAAAUGGGAUACAUAAAACUGGGAUGCCCAGUAACCCACGUGUGUAUUUGAAACGUCUUCCUAGUAUAUCGCGAAUCUUUUAGAUAAACCUCUUAAAGAAUUAGAAGGCCUAGUAUAUUGCGAUGUGUGAUUUGAUCGAAAUUUUGAUUUUACAGAUUCGAAAUAUGAAACUGUCAUCCCAGGCAAUCGAAUUGGGAUGCCCUGAACCUGACAUGUCUCUUUGGAGGAGUCACAUGAAGCUCAGACCGAUGGGUGUAUUCAAUACUCCCCCCAAAAACGAAAAAGGGAAUUGGUCUAUGGUCGAUUCAGUAAAAAAUAAAUAAGAAUUCUAGUUGUACCUCGUGAAAAAAAAAAAUGAAAUUCUGUUCCUCAAGUAAGCAAAUAUGUCAUGGUUGGGGGAGUCUAUACAUCGCAUAAUAGGCUUUAAGUAUAUCGUGGCAUAACCGUCGAGGUGAAGCAGGACCUAAAAGAUCGAAAGGAACGAUACAUAGACAAAAAAAUCCCUUAUGAAUUCCAAGGCACUUCUUUCCUUAAUUUAUUUAAUUUAAGGUAAGGGAUUUGUCAUUCGGGGGAAGUAGACUACUCAAGAAUUUCACAUUUCAGUUUCGUAAUUUAUAAUUGAAUAAAGAAUUUCGAAAAUCUCAAUAAAAGGAAAAGAAGAAUGAAUCAAUGAAAUGUUGCUUGGUCUUUACUGGAACUUGAGUAAGGAGUAGUUGUUUUUGGGUAUGGGGUUUUUUAUAGAAUUUGAAAGCGAGAAUCCCUUUCUUUAUCCUUAUUUGGCGUAACUACUUGAGCCGGAUGAGAAGAAACGCUCAUGUCCGAUUUUGAUGGGGGGGAGAUCCCAUAGGAUAGGGUCCUAUCCCAAUUUUUCUUUUGCUAGGCCUAUAGCGAAAAAACCGACUUUUUUACGAUUACGCGGUUCAUUCGAAUAUGAAAUACAAUCCUGGAAAUACAGCAUCCCACUUUUUUUUACUACCCAAGGUUUCGAUAAAUUUCGUAACCGAGAAAUUUCUACUGGAGCAGUUGCUAUCCGGGAACAAUUAGCCGAUCUAGAUUUGCGAAUUAUUCUAGAUAAUUCCUUGUUAGAAUGGAAAGAAUUAGGGAAGAAGGGCCCGCCGGUAAUGACUGGGAAGAUCGAAAAAUUGGACGAAGAAGGGAUUUUUUGGUUAGACGCAUGGAAUUAGCUAAGCAUUUUCUUCGAACAAAUAUAGAACCAGAGUGGAUGGUUUUAUGUCUAUUACCUGUUCUUCCUCCCGAGUUGAGGCCUAUCAUUCAAAUAGAUGGAGGUAAACUAAUGAGUUCAGAUAUUAAUGAACUCUAUAGAAGAGUUAUCUAUCGGAACAAUACUCUUAUCGACCUAUUAACAACAAGUAGAUCUACGCCAGGGGAAUUGGUAAUGUGUCAGGAGAAAUUGGUACAAGAAGCCGUGGAUACGCUUCUUGAUAAUGGAAUCCGUGGACAGCCAAUGAGGGAUGGUCAUAAUAAGAUUUAUAAGUCGUUUUCAGAUGUAAUUGAAGGAAAAGAGGGAAGAUUUCGUGAGACUCUGCUUGGCAAACGGGUCGAUUAUUCGGGGCGGUCUGUCAUUGUUGUGGGCCCCUCACUUUCAUUACAUCAAUGUGGAUUGCCUCGCGAAAUCGCAAUAGAGCUUUUCCAGACUUUUGUAAUUUGUGGGCUAAUUAGACAACACCUUGCUUCGAACAUAGGAGUUGCUAAGAGUAAAAUUCGGGAAAAAGGGCCGAUUAUCUGGGAAAUACUGCAGGAAGUUAUGCAGGGACAUCCAGUAUUGCUGAAUAGAGCGCCUACUCUGCAUAGAUUGGGCGUACAGGCAUUCCAGCCCAUUUUAGUGGAAGGGCGCGCUAUUUGUUUACAUCCAUUAGUUUGUAAGGGAUUCAACGCAGACUUUGAUGGGGAUCAAAUGGCUGUUCAUGUACCCUUAUCUUUAGAGGCUCAAGCAGAGGCUCGGUUACUUAUGUUUUCUCAUAUGAAUCUCUUGUCUCCUACUAUUGGAGAUCCCAUUUCCAUACCGACUCAAGAUAUGCUUAUUGGGCUCUAUGUAUUAACGAGCGGGAAUCGUCGAGGUAUUUGUGCAAAUAGGUAUAAUACAUGGAAUCGAAGAAAUUAUCCAGAUGAAAGAAUUGACGAUAAUAGCUAUACGUAUACGAAAGAACCCCUUUUUUGUAAUUCCUAUGAUGCAAUUGGAGCUUAUCGGCAGAAAAGAAUCAAUUUAGAUAGUCCGUUGUGGCUUCGGUGGCGAUUAGAUCAACGCCUUAUUGCUUCAAGGGAAGCUCCCAUCGAAGUUCACUAUGAAUCUUUGGGUACCUCUCAUGAGAUUUAUGGGCAUUAUCUAAUAGUACGAAGUGUAAAAAAAGAAAUUCUUUCUAUAUACAUUCGAACCACCGUGGGCCAUAUUUCUCUUUAUCGAGAAAUCGAAGAAGCUAUACAAGGGUUUUGCCGGGCCUGCUCAUAUGGUACCUAAUCAUCUGGUGUCUAAACUAAGUAAUUCUACGACUCCUUGGGCCUUUCCGGUUCAAGUAUGACCACCAUUGCUGACCUUUCUACGCGAAUCAAGAUCGAGAAAAGGAAGUUUUCCACUCAUUGACUAAAAUCCAUUGGCGAAUCCUACUCAGCGGAAUACGGAGGUACUUAUGGCAGAACGGGUGAGUCUGGUCUUUCACAAUAAAAUGAUAGAUGGAACUGCCAUUAAACGACUUAUUAGCAGGUUAAUAGAUCACUUCGGAAUGGCAUAUACAUCCCACAUCCUGGAUCAAGUAAAGACCCUGGGGUUCCAGCAAGCCACUGCUACAUCUAUUUCAUUAGGCAUUGAUGAUCUUUUAACGAUACCUUCUAAGCGAUGGCUAGUCCAAGAUGCUGAACAACAAAGUUUUAUUUUGGAAAAACACUAUCAUUAUGGGAAUGUACACGCGAUAGAAAAACUACGACAAUCCAUUGAGAUAUGGUAUGCUACAAGUGAAUAUUUGCGACAAGAAAUGAAUCCUAAUUUUAGGAUGACUGAGCCUUUUAAUCCAGUCCAUAUAAUGUCUUUUUCGGGGGCUAGAGGAAAUGCAUCUCAAGUACACCAAUUGGUGGGUAUGAGAGGAUUAAUGUCUGAUCCCCAAGGGCAAAUGAUUGAUUUACCCAUUCAAAGUAAUUUACGCGAAGGGCUUUCUUUAACAGAAUAUAUCAUUUCUUGCUAUGGAGCCCGCAAGGGGGUUGUCGAUACCGCUGUCCGAACAUCAGAUGCUGGAUAUCUUACGCGCAGACUUGUUGAAGUAGUUCAACACAUUAUUGUACGUAGAACAGAUUGUGGCACUGUCCGAGGAAUUUCUGUGAGUCCUCAAAAUCAAAAUAGGAUGAUGUCGGAAAGGGUUUUUAGCCAAACAUUAAUUGGUCGUGUAUUAGCGGACGAUAUAUAUAUGGGCCAGCGAUCCAUUGCCAUUAGAAAUCAAGAUAUUGGGAUUGGACUUGUCAAUCGACUCAUAACCCUUCGAACACAAGCAAUAUCUAUUCGAACCCCCUUUACUUGUAGGAGUACAUCGUGGAUCUGUCGAUUAUGUUAUGGUCGGAGUCCGACUCAUGGUGACCUGGUUGAAUUGGGGGAAGCCGUAGGUAUUAUUGCGGGUCAAUCUAUUGGAGAACCAGGGACUCAACUAACAUUAAGAACUUUUCAUACCGGCGGCGUAUUUACGGGGGGCACUGCAGAACAUGUACGAGCCCCUUCUAAUGGUAAAAUCAAAUUCAAUGAGGAUUUGGUUCAUCCCACGCGCACACGUCACGGGCAUCCGGCUUUUCUAUGUUCUAUAGAUUUGGAUGUAAUUAUUGAGGGUGAAGAUAUUAUGCACAAUGUGACUAUUCCACCAAAAAGUUUUCUUUUAGUUCAAAAUGAUCAAUAUGUCGAAUCAGAACAAGUGAUUGCUGAGAUUCGGGCGGGAGCAUACACUUUGAAUUUUAAAGAGAGGGUUCGAAAACAUAUUUAUUCUGAUUCAGAGGGAGAAAUGCACUGGAGUACUGAUGUGUACCAUGCACCCGAAUUUACAUAUAGUAAUGUCCACCUCUUGCCAAAAACAAGCCAUUUAUGGAUAUUGUCGGGGGGUUCACGCAGAUCUAGUGUAGUUUCUUUUUCACUCCACAAGGAUCAAGAUCAAAUGAAUAUUCAUUCUCUUUCUGUCGAACGAAGAGAGAUUUCUAGCCUCUCGCUCUCAGUGAAUAAUGAUCAAACGGGACACAAAUUUUUUAGUUCUGAUUUUUCUGCUAAAAAAAAAGGUCGAAUUCUUGAGAUGUCUGAUUAUUCGGGAUUUAAUAGAAUCAUAAGUACUGGUCAUUGUAAUCUCAUCCAUCCUGCAAUUCUCCACGCAAAUUCGGAUUUAUUGGCAAAAAGGCAAAGAAAUGGAUUUCUUAUUCCAUUCCACUCGAUUCAAGAGCAAGAGAAAGAGCUAAUGCCCCAUUCAGGUAUCUCGAUUGAAAUACCCGUAAGGGGUAUUUUCCGUAGAAAUAGUAUUCUUGCUUAUUUCGACGAUCCUCGAUACAGAAGAAAGAGUUCCGGAAUUACUAAAUGGGGGACUCUGGGGGCGCAUUCAAUCGUUAAAAAAGAGGACUUGAUUGAGUAUCGAGGACUCAAAAAAAUUAAGCCAAAAUACCAAAUGAAAAUAGAUCGCCUUUUUUUCAUUCCGGAGGAAGUGCAUAUUUUUCCCGAAUCUUCUUACCUAAUGGUACGGAAUAAUAGUAUCAUUGGAGUAGACACACAAAUCACUUUAAAUAUACGAAGCCGGGUGGGCGGAUUGGUCCGAAUGGAGAGAAAAAGGGGAGGGGUUGAACUAAAAAUAUUUUCGGGAGAUAUCCAUUUUCCCGGAGAGAUAGAUAAGAUAUCCCGACACAGUGGCAUCCUGAUACCGCCAGAAAGUGAAAAAACAAAACUUAAGGAAGCCACUAAGGAAUCAAAAAAAUUGAAAAAGUGGAUCUAUGUUCAACGGAUCACACCUACAAAGAAAAAGUCUUUUGUUUUGGUUCGACCCGUAGUCACAUAUGAAAUAGCGAACGGUAUAAAUUUAGCAACACUCUUUCCCCAGGAUCCGCUGCGGGAAAAGGAUAAUAUGCAAUUUCGAGUUGUCAAUUAUGUCCUUUAUGGGAAGGGCAAAGCCGCUGGGGGAAUUUCUGAUACAAGUCUUCAAUUAGUUCGGACGUGUUUAGUGUUGAAUUGGGACCAAGACAACAAAAGUUCUUCCGUCGAAGAGGUUUGUGCUUCCUUUGUUGAAGUACGUACAAAUGGUCUGAUUCGAAAUUUCCUAAGAAUCAACUUAGUGAAAUCCAAUAUUUCGUAUCUCAGAAAAAGGGAUCAUCCGUCGGGUUCAGGAUUAAUUUCUGAUAAUGGUUCAGCUCGCACCAAUAGCAAUCCGUUUUAUUCCGUGUUUGGCAAGGCAGGGGUUGAACAAUCGCUUAGACAAAAUCAAGGAACUAUUCGUACGUUGUUGAAUAAAAAUAAGGAAUGCCAAGUUUUGAUAAUUUUAUCAUCAUCUAAUUAUUUUCGAAUGGGUCCAUUGAACGAUGUAAAAUAUCACAAUGUGAUAAAACAAUCAAUUCCAAUUCAAAAAGAUUCGCUAACUCCAAUUAAGACUUCGUUGGGACCCUUAGGAACAUUCCUUCAAAUUGCGAAUUUUUAUUCAUUUUACUAUUUAAUAACUCAUAAUCAUAUCUCGGUAACUAAAUAUUUGAAACUUGACAAUUUAAAACAGCCUUUUCAAGUACUUAAAUAUUAUUUAAUGGACGAAACCGGGGAAAUUUAUAAUCCUGAUACAGAUAGUAAGAUCCUUUUGAAUCCAUUUAAUUUGAAUUGGUAUUUUCUCCAGCCUAAUUAUUGUGAGGAAAUGUCCCCGAUAAUUAGUCUUGGGCAGUUUCUUUGUGAAAAUGUACGUAUAACCAAAAGGGGACCAUACCUAAAAUCCGGUCAAGUUUUAAUUGUUCAAGUUAACUCUGUAGUAAUACGAUCAGCUAAGCCUUAUUUGGCUACUCCUGGAGCAACUGUUCAUGGGCAUUAUGGAGCAAUCCUUUACGAAGGGGAUACAUUAGUUACAUUUAUAUAUGAAAAAUCGAGAUCUGGUGAUAUAACGCAGGGUCUUCCAAAAGUAGAACAGGUGUUAGAAGUGCGUUCGCUUGAUUCAAUAUCGAUGAACCUAGAAAAGAGAGUUGAGGGUUGGAACGCGAGUAUAACAAGAAUUCUUGGGAUUCCCUGGGGAUUCUUGAUUGGUGCUGAGCUAACUAUAGUGCAAAGUCGUAUCUCUUUGGUUAAUAAGAUCCAAAAGGUUUAUCGAUCGCAGGGGGUGCAGAUCCAUAAUAGGCAUAUAGAAAUUAUUGUACGUCAAAUAACAUCAAAAGUUUUAGUUUCCGAAGAUGGAAUGUCUAAUAUUUUUUUACCCGGCGAACUGAUUGGAUUGUUACGAGCGGAACGAAUGGGGCGCGCUUUGGAAGAAGUGAUCUGUUAUCGAGCUAUCUUAUUGGGAAUAACGAGAGCGUCUCUGAAUACUCAAAGUUUUAUAUCCGAAGCAAGUUUUCAAGAAACCACGCGAGUUUUAGCAAAAGCUGCUCUCCGAGGUCGUAUCGAUUGGUUGAAAGGCCUGAAAGAAAACGUUGUUCUGGGGGGGAUAAUACCAGUCGGUACCGGAUUCAAAGGAUUAGUCCACUGUUCAAGGCAGCAUAACAACAUUCUUUUGGAAAGACAAAAAGGGAAUUUAUUCGGGGGGGAAAUGAGAGAUAUUUUCUUACACCACAGAGAAUUAUUUGACUCGUGCAUUUCAACGACUUUCCAUGAUACAUCAGAGCACAAUUGCUUAGAGGGUUUAAUGAGUCCUAGGAGCGAAUUCUUUUAACUAUUUGUGAUCAUUUGAUUUUUUAAUGGUACGAAAAGAAAGAUAAUAAUGAAUAGAACGAAGGAUAAUAAUGAAUAGAAAGUAAUGAAUGGCCUGGGUCGUGUAUCAAUGGUCACUCUCUGGUAGAAGAGAAGGUUCCCUCGGAACAAUUAUUUAUUUCAGGGCGCCUCGUCUCUUAAAAAAAAAAGAGGAAGUGGGGGAGAAAUGGCAAGAAGGUAUUGGAACAUCCAUUUGGAAGAGAUGAUGGAAGCAGGAAUUCAUUUUGGUCAUGGUACUCGGAAAUGGAAUCCUAGAAUGGCACCUUAUAUAUCUGCAAAACAUAAAGGUAUUCAUAUUACAAAUCUGACUCGAACUGCUCGGUUUUUAUCAGAAGCUUGUGAUUUAGUUUUUGAUGCAGCAAGUAGGGGAAAACAAUUCUUAAUUGUUGGUACUAAAAAUAAAGCAGCUGAUUUAGUCGCGCGAGCUGCAAUAAGGGCUCGGUGCCAUUAUGUUAAUCAAAAAUGGCUCGGCGGUAUGUUAACCAAUUGGUCCACUACAGAAACGCGACUUCACAAGUUCAGGGAUUUGAGAACGGAACAAAAAGGGGGGAGACUCGACAGUCUUCCCAAAAGGGAUGCCGCUAUUUUGAAGAGACAAUUAUCGCGUCUGCAAACGUAUCUGGGCGGGAUUAAAUAUAUGACGAGGGUACCCGAUAUUGUAAUCGUCGUUGAUCAGCAAGAAGAAUAUACGGCUCUUCGAGAAUGUAUCACUUUGGGAAUUCCAACAAUUUGUUUAAUCGAUACAAAUUGUGACCCCGAUCUCGCAGAUAUUUCGAUUCCAGCAAACGAUGACGCUAUAGCCUCAAUCCGAUUAAUUCUUAACAAAUUAGUAUUCGCAAUUUGUGAGGGUCGCUCUAGCUAUAUACGAAAUCCUUGAUUAAUAAUAAGAUAAAUAAAUUAUUUUGGUAACUCCAUAGAUUUAUGGAUUGGGUACUAUUCCUGAAUUGCACAAAAGAAAAGAGACAAACCUGGUGGAUAUUAUGCAAUUAGCAGAUAUUCAAAAUAUACAAUUCAAGUAGACAAGUCGAAAAGAAGAUGGUUGAAUCAAAAUAAUUCUUUUUAAAUUUCUAUUUCGGUCAGAGGGCAAUAUGAAUGUUCUAUCAUGUUCCAUGAAUACACUAAGGGGGUUAUACGAUAUAUCCGGUGUGGAAGUAGGCCAACAUUUCUAUUGGCAAAUAGGUGGGUUCCAGGUCCAUGCCCAAGUACUUAUUACUUCUUGGGUUGUAAUUGCUAUCUUAUUAGGUUCAGCCUUUAUAGCCGUUCGGAAUCCACAAACCGUUCCGACUGCCACUCAAAAUUUCUUCGAAUAUGUCCUUGAAUUCAUUCGAGACGUGAGCAAAACUCAGAUUGGAGAAGAAUAUGGCCCAUGGGUUCCCUUUAUUGGAACUCUGUUUCUUUUUAUUUUUGUUUCUAAUUGGUCAGGUGCUCUUUUACCUUGGAAAAUCAUAGAGUUACCUCAUGGGGAGUUAGCCGCACCCACGAAUGAUAUAAAUACUACCGUUGCUUUAGCUUUGCUCACGUCAAUAGCAUACUUCUAUGCGGGUCUUUCCAAAAAGGGAUUAGGCUAUUUCAGUAAAUACAUUCAACCGACUCCAAUUCUUUUACCCAUUAACAUUUUAGAAGAUUUCACAAAACCUCUAUCACUUAGUUUUCGACUUUUUGGGAAUAUAUUAGCCGAUGAAUUAGUAGUUGUUGUUCUUGUUUCUUUAGUACCUUUAGUGGUUCCUAUACCCGUCAUGUUCCUUGGAUUAUUUACAAGCGGUAUUCAAGCUCUUAUUUUUGCAACUUUAGCUGCGGCUUAUAUAGGCGAAUCUAUGGAGGGACAUCAUUGACUCGUUUUCGAAAUAGUCUUUUUUUGUAGCUUAGAACAAAGGCAAUGGAUGCGUAACUCAAGAUAAUCUACUUAUACUUCUACUUAGGAAAAAUACAUAUCCAAACAUAAAUCUACAAAUACCGCAUAUACGAUCAAGAGUCGUAGAAAAAAAAUUACGAUAUUGGGGAAUUGUAGGAAAGAGAUCUAAAGGAUCUUUUUCCUCAAAUUCCUCUUUGGCCUUAUUAUAUCAUCCCCCCCUCUCCCCGCCAAUUAAUAUUUUCUUUAUAUUGUUUUGUUCAUUUUUGUUCAUUCAAUUCGAAUAGCAAAUACCAAGAGUGAUAAGUUGAAUAAAAAUUCUUAUAGUAUCACAGGCGGGUGAUUAAAAAAAAAGAAAAGAAAGAUGCUUUAUAAAAUAAUUCCCCUUUUAGUUGCUUUUAGUCAAUUCUUCAAUUCAACGAUUGACCAAAAGAGAAUAUUAAUAUAAUAAAUUGCAUGGCCGUACCUCAAUCAAAUACUGAUAUUUAGUUCUAUGCAAUGAUUCGCCCCAAUGAAUUCGUCUAUUUCGAUUGUAGCCUGGUGGAUAAUGAUAACGAAAAGGAAUAGAAAAAAAAAAAAGAGAUUUAUAAAAAACGGGGUGAUUCGGCGAGGGGUACAUAAUUAGGUAUAUGGAAUCAAAUGCCAACUCUUGUGUAUUUUUUGAGUUUUAAAAGGGGUUCGAGAAUACGAUUGACUUUAAGAUACGAAUACUUGGAGUCUAAGAUAUUAAUAGUUGGUUUACGUUCUGUAAGAAAGACAUGUAUAUGGGAUAUUAGAUAUUGCUAGUUAUAUAUGAACUAAAGAUAUAUCUAAUCCACCCUACUCUUGUGAUUAUUGUGAAUUUCGAUAGGGAUUCUAAUAGAAAUUUAGAAAUUGUUCGAUUUCGUCUUUGCUUUGAUGCUUUGACUGGGAAUUGAAUCAAUAAAAAUAAAGAGAUGAAAGAAAGAAAACGAACGAAGAAUUCAAAAAAGGGUUCCGAAAAAAGAAAUGGAAGAACAAAAGUCGUAUGGAUUUACAAAAAUCCUGUGUUGUGCCUGUGGAUCGAAACUAAAAAAGAGAUAUCUAAAAAGUUUUGAUGGUUCAAUAAUAAUAUUAUUAUUACGCCAAUUGGGAGUUCUUAGUUACUUCGGCUGGGCGAAUCCUAGUGACGGAAUAAUUAAGUCAUAAUUUAUUGGACGAUUGUAUCAUUAACGAUUUCUUUAGUUUUUCUUUAUUUUAGUGCGAGGGACUUAUCAUGAAUCCACUGAUUUCUGCCGCUUCCGUUAUUGCUGCUGGGUUGGCUGUUGGGCUUGCUUCUAUUGGACCUGGAGUUGGUCAAGGUACUGCUGCGGGCCAGGCAGUAGAAGGGAUCGCGAGACAGCCCGAGGCAGAGGGAAAAAUACGAGGUACUUUAUUGCUUAGUCUGGCUUUUAUGGAAGCUUUAACAAUUUAUGGGCUGGUUGUAGCAUUAGCACUUUUAUUUGCGAAUCCUUUUGUUUAAUCCUAGAAAUAGGAAGGGCAAUUUACUUAUUUUUUUUCUCUUAUUUAUUAUAUCCGUGUUUCUGGCUUUUUUGAAUUCUAUCAAGAUUUAACUCCUCCAAUUGGAAGGACUGAUUUGAGGAUGGGGAAUUAGGAUAGGCAUACCAGUUCGCCUUUUUCUUUCCCUUUCUUAGUCUAAAGGAAACCCUCUUUUUAAGUGAUGCUGCAACAAACGAGGGGUUUUGCAAUGGACAGGAGUCCCGGCCCCUAAUACUAAUAAGUAUCCCUCUUAUCGGGAAUCCCCAAUUGCCAAUUCAAAGAAAGGAUUUCGAAAUCGAAUUUUUGACCCUGUUUCGAAAUAGGUAAAUUACUAAAAAAACAAAUAAAUUAAAUAAAUAUAUAUUACGUAGAAAAAAAAAAAGAACUGCGUUCUUUUUUUUUUUUUAGUCUAUCUAAAAGAGGAGAUCAUAUGAAAAAUGUAACCGAUUCUUUCGUUUCUUUGGUUAACUGGCCAUUCGCCGGGAGUUUCGGGCUUAAUACCGAUAUUUUAGCAACAAAUCCAAUAAAUCUAAGUGUAGUGCUUGGUGUAUUGAUCUUUUUUGGAAAGGGAGUGUGUGCGAGUUGUUUAUUUCAAGAAUAGGCUGGACCCAACCAGCUGCACUUUUUUUCGUUAUAACUAGGACCAAAGGGAAAAGGGUGCAUGAUUCCGCGAAUUACUUCUGAAUAAAUUUCAAAUCAUAUUUAAGAACCAUAGCAUUUCGUGAUUUGUUGGUAAAUCUAUUUUGAUUCUCUAUUAACCAAACCAAUAAUGUGGGACCAUUAACAUGGUUAAAGCUAAAGUUUGAAGUCCAGACACAGCACGGUACUCUUUCUACUACUAUGUUUUACUAUAGAAUAGAAAUGUUUUCAAAAUGAAUAAUUAAUAAAUGAAUAAUUAAUAAUAAUUAUUGGACUUUUUUUUUUCGAUAUAAAACACUCAUGUUGAUAAAAAGAUUUGAGCCUUUUAUUGGUAUUGGAAAUUUGAUUGGAAAAUAUUGGAAAAAUAGGUAUUUCAACCAACCCUUAUUUAUGCUGAAUCGAUGACCUCCAUAUAAAGUAAGAAGAAUUCUUUGGAUUUGAAGAAAAAAAGAAACAACUUUGCUGACAAUUAUAUAUUUUGAUUUGGUCAGAAGAGUCCUCCGAAUAUUCUGUUCUUGGAUUAGGGAUCAGUCGCAAGAUUCAUUUUGGAAUAUGAAUAGAGAAGAGAGGGAGAGGAUAGGCUCAUUACAUUAAAAAAAGAUAUGGGAACCCCCCCCAUACAUAAGUAGUUGACGUAAUUGAGUGGGAGAGCCAAAUGAAUCGAAAAAUUCAUGUUUGGUUCGGGAAGGGAUCAUCGAAGUUUUGAGAUGAAUGGAAAGAUAAUCUACUUUCAUUAAGUGAUUUAUUAGAUAAUCGCAAACUGAGGAUUUUGAAUAGUAUUCGAAAUUCAGAAGAACUGCAGAGAGGGGCCAUUGAACGGCUGGAAAAAGCCCGGGCCCGGUUACGAAAAAUAGAAAUAGAAGCAGAUCAGUUUCGAGUGAAUGGAUACUCUGAGAUAGAACGAGAAAAAUUCAAUUUGAUUAAUUCAACUUAUAAGACUUUGGAUCAAUUAGAAAAUUACAAAAAUGAAACCAUUCAUUUUGAACAACAAAGAGCAAUUAAUCAAGUCCGACAACGGGUUUUCCAACAAGCUUUACAAGGAGCGCUCGGAACUCUGAAUAGUUGUUUGAACAAGGAGUUACAUUUACGUACCAUUAGUGCCAAUAUUGGCAUGUUUGGAGCGAUGAAAGAAAUAACUGAUUAGUCCUUUUACUGUAGGCACAUUAUUUUUUUUUUUUUUUUUAAGAAAAAAAAGAAUUAAGAAAUACUUAUGACAACAAUUAAAGCCGACGAAAUU